UGAUGAGCAUGAGAUGGGUUCGGAUUAGGUUGUAGUGGGCGCAUCUCUUGUUUUUUUUUUCUCUUAAGCUGCUGCGGUCGAUGCAAUUGUGGAUCUAGGUGGAAAAAAUCACGAGGUGAUAUGUCUCCCAAUAUUAUUCAUGUUUAUAUUUGAUGCCCUCUUCUCACCUAUAACCGGUUGUUUGGGAAAAUUAAUAGCUGCUGUUGUGUUCAAUCUCUUAUAAAAAUGGAUAAAAGAACUAAUAUUUAUCAGGAAUACAGUGCAAGCUGUUGGAUCCGAGGGGCAUUACUCCAAGAUCUUGUCAACUGGAUGAAUACUUCCCCCGGUUUUAAGAAAUUGCGACACCAAAUGGCUUUCAAAUGUCAUUUCCCCUUUUCUAGUGGAUGGAAAAACAAACAUGCAUGAAACCUUAAUCACAUAGCCACUGAGAAACUAAAGACAGAAAAUUGUAUGGACACAGUUCUGGCCUUGAGAGAUGGAUGGGAGGAAAAACAACAAUUUUAUUAGCGAUAGCAAAUGCCCUCUAUUGGUACUCUAUCUUCCAUCUGAGUUGGAGAGAUUCCCCCAAGCUGAGAGGGCUGCAACUUUUGAAAAUUAGAUGCGAUUUCUUUCUCGAGCCACCCAUGCCUUGAACUCUUCUCCCUUAACUUCAAACUGAUUGAUUUGGUGAUAGGAAUUGAUUACUGAAACAUGACUUCAUCUUCGUCUCUCUUUGUGUUUAUCCCUUUUCAGAAUGCGGAUAAUCUUAUAGCAAUUAACUCAUCCCAUUUAUGCAACUCCUUCUAACUUACUGCAAAGAAAGUCGUAUAUGCUCUCCUAUCAAAUUCUAUCUCAAGGUAAAAAUGGAAACUUCCAUCAGCUAAAAGAUACCUUGAAUAUUAUCUACAUCAUAAAAGGUAAAUAAGAUUUGGCUAUCAUCUAUAGUGAAAGACGGGAACUUCUUAGUUAAAAUCCCAUUUCAAUUGUAUAAUAGAAAAAUUGAUGUUGUUUAAGGGCCACUUGUUUCAAAAGGUGAUUCUGAUCAUUUAAUUUGAUCCGCCUCAAAAUCUAGGAUAUAGACCCAACCAAUAGAUCAUAUGUAAGUUCUUAUUGGAUGGGAUUGCUGUAUUGCUGGAUAUCUGUCUAACAGAAUGAUGGCUCCCCAAGAUACUAGGAGUAAUAUAUAUUUAUAUAGAUGUUUUAUCUAAGAAAAGCUUAAAAAAAUCAGAGCAAGAUUAGGAUCCAUUUGUGAAUUUAGAUUCAAAGCAGACCCAGACUCUAUAGCUGUUUUGGUUUCACAACAUUUUAGAAUCUUAUACUCUUAUCAAGCUCAAAUUUGGAUAUGAUUUCCCUAGAUGUUCAUUCAAUGGGUUCCUAUACAAUACAAUCUAGUUCAGUUCAGUCCACUGUUUUACAUCAUAACUUCGUUGCUGUUCUCUACAGUCAGAAUCAGACCCUCACUUUCCAGGAACAUCAAAAAAAGAGAAAGCCAUUAUCUUCUUGUAAUCAAUUUCUCCUUCUCUAUGAUGAUCAAAAUCAGCAGUUAACUAUGUCCUGAAUUCCAACUGGUGCCCCACAGCUGGUCUAAGUGGUAAAUCAACUUUUCUUAAAUAUUUUCUUAAUGUAAGUCUCUUUCUCAAAAAACUCAAUAUGAGUCUCAUGCUUCAAUUCUUCUAGAUCCUUUGAAGACAAGAAAAUCAAUAGGUAACCUCUUGAAUAUUGUAAUUACUUAAUCGACUUAUUAGCAGUCUUCGAAAACUAGUUAUCAACAACAUCCUGCCGACAUGUCCAGCAAACAAGAUGCUGUAAUAGACUUAAACAAAUUUCUUCUGAGUUGUGAACUUUGAAUGGAUGCUCCUACAGGAGCUGCUACCUUGCUACCUACUCAUUUGUUUUACAUGCAUCAAUUGAUCUAUUUGCCAAUAAGCUUAGCUACUAUUCUUCUUGUAUGUUGUAUGAUCUGCAUAUUGUGCAAAUGGUGCAAAUGCAUAAUAAAAAGUCCUGAGCUUGUAAAAAAUAAAAGAUAUUACUAAUCUUAUCUACUGCACUUCUUGUGUAGAUGGUGUAAACGCCAAUAAGCUUAGCUACCAUUCUUCUUGUAUGAGGGAUGGCAAUGGGUCGAGUUGGCCAAUAUCCGAACCCGCUCUGCAAUUAAAAUCCUUGUAUCCAUACCGACCUCGUAAUUGUCUUGGGUCAGGUUGGGUCGCAUAAAGUACAUGGGGCGGGUUGUAACGGGUCGAGUUGGAUAGAUAAGAUAGGUUGGGUCGGAUUGGGUUGGGUUAGAUAAUAAUAGCUUAUAGCUUUAAUUAAUGCGAUUACAGCUACUAUAUAAAUGGGGGAAGCUUAUAGCUUAUUCUCUUAUAACCCAAUUUUUGAUUCAGGUAGAGAGUAUCCUAGUGUACAGCAAUAACUACAAUAUAUUCUAAUAAAAAAUAGUUCAUACAUAAGUCAAAUUAAUUGAGGGCUUAGAAACAAAACAAAUAAGAAUAAUCGAGAAUUGUGAUUUUCACAGAAUAUGUGUUUUCUACGUUUCAACAAUAAUAAAUUUGAAAGUAAAACGAAGGGGGUGGGGUGGGGGGUGGGGGACGGUUAAAGUGAAUGGGGUUGUAAUGGCUAUCACUUAUCAAGUGAACUGGUGGGGUGCAUUAAGGUAAUAUUAUAUUGGGUCGGGUUCGGGGUGGGGCAUAACAUUAUCUGUACCUGACCCCAACCUGCUUUGGGUACUAUAUCUAAAAUCCAUACCAGCCUGAGUUUAAACGGGUUGGGUAAAACUCACCCAAGUCGGGUUGGGUCGGAUCGGAUACCUAAUGGAUCGGCUAAAAUUGCCAUACCAAUUUUGUAUGUUGUGUGAUCUACUUUUCUUUUUAGAUCCAAAAUGUUAUAAUUUCCCCAAGGCCAGCACAAUUAUCUUAAGAUAUUGCAACACUUUGUCGAUCUGAAAAUACUGACUUUGAUAGAGAGCAUUUACAUUGUGAAGAGAUAUCCUUUCGGUUUCUCAAAAGGACAGAAUAUGUGUCAAUCAUCUCGAUCCUUUUCUUUUCUUUUUCUUUCUUUCUUUGUUUUUUUUUUUUCAAUUUGCUCCUCCCAGCAUCAUUAAGUUGAUGAAGAUAAAUCAGAAGGCCUAAAGAAAGGCUAAAAGUAAAAGAUCUAGAGAGAGGCCAAAGUAAAAGGCUUAGCCCAACACGAAAAGAGCAGACAGAGAACUAGAAACAACUAACUGAUACGAUGGUUUCAGAAAAGGUUGGAAGCUUUGAAGACAACAACUGGAAGGCACUUCUAUUUCUUUCUGGGACAAGUAUUUUCCAUGAUGUGAAGGCGAAGAGAGCCUUUGAAGCUUCUGCUAUGCUGUAGAUGCCUUGUUCAAGAAAACUCCGCUGCUCUUCUCGCACCAACUAGACCAAGCAUUUCUCAUGACUAAAGAGUUCCAGCAGAGAGAAAAGAUGAGAUGCUUCUUCUAUAUCUUCACAGUCUAGACUUUUUUCAGAGAUAUUCCCCUGCAAAAGCUGAAAUCAAUGUAACGAGCAACGGAACUCCAUAGCUUGCACAAGAAAUGGCAGCCAAUAACAGGUGUUUGAUAUUCUCUGGGUUAUUUGAGCACAGUGGGCAAACAAAGUUGAAGCUCCAAUCUUCUUGAUCAGCAGCUCCCCAGAAUUUAGCUUACUUUUCAAAGCUAACCGCAUAAAAUUGUCACUUUCUCCUGACUUGCUGUCUUCCAUAUGGCAGGAGCAUAAUGGUAGACUGAUCCUCCUUGAUUGAUGAAACUGUAAGAAGACUUCACAGUGUAGAUUUUAUUCACAGUCCAACUCCAAAGUGGACUAUCUUUCUGGCCUUAUUUUCUGAUCAAUUUCAGCAUCUCAGCCAACAUAUGGAGCACCCCAUGCCUCGUUGGCUAUUGGAAGGUCAAUAAGUAUGGUCCAGGAAUUAGAAGCUGAAUUCCAGUAGUCUUCCACUUUAGCAUCUAGAAUAGAGGUAUUUGAGUAAAGGUGAGGGAAGAGAGACCAUAGUGAGCAGCAAGGGAGUCAGCAAUACCAAUACACAAUGGAUCUAGACAUUUGCAUAUGUUCUUCCUUAUAGGUGAAGCUCUCCUCGGUCUUCUCUGACUGGUUGCUGUGAAGGUAGUGUUUUGAUAAUAGCUGUAGUUGAUCAGCUUGGCCCAUCACUAAGAAGGGUCGAGCACCAUUUUCUGACUCCAUUUUCCUAGCAGCACCCUGAUGAAGCGAGCAAGGUUGGGAACUCCCAGACCUCCUUCUUUCUAAGACUUGCAAACAUUUUUCCAAUUCAGACUUGCAAACAUUUUUCCAGUUCACCAGAGCUGAGAAUGGGGAGGUCAAAUUUUCUUUUUCCCAUCUUGUAAUUAUAUAAAAUCCAAUUCUGGACUUGAUAUUUUAUCACAUCUACUCAAAUAAUUGAUGGAGUUCUUUCCAAGUCUCGAAUUUGAAGAUGAAUUAAAAAAAGAAAUUCUUAUAAUGUUGUAAACAAAAAUUUCAUAUUCUGCAAUUUCUGCACCAACCAUAUUGCAGUCUCUUUUCCUGCUUUUGUUGGCUCAUCUCAUAACCUGCUUACCUGAAAGGAAAGCAGGUUGGUUGCUCAUAAUAUACUAACUCAGCAACAUUCCUUUUUAUUCAUUUAUCUAAUUGCAUGUCUUAUGCCUAUGGAUUGUUUGUAGGUCAAGUUUGGAGUCCUGUUCAAUGAUGACAGGUGCGCUAACAUAUUUGAAGCACUGGUUGGAACCCUGAGGGCAGCAAAGAAGAGAAGAGUGGUCACGUAUGAUGGUGAGCUGCUGCUUCAGGGUGUUCAUGACAAUGUGGAAAUAACCCUCUUGCCCUCCGCAGUCGCAGCUGCCUAAUUGCCCAUGAUAUUUGUGACAAUAAACUGUGUUAUAUGCAUUGCAGCUGUCUUGUUCGGAGAUGGGUGUCUCAAAAUAAAUGAUUUGAUUGUUGAUAUUUCGCUUGAGAGCUUUACCUGGUUUGUAGCAUGUUCGAGUUCGUGUCAUCGACGCUCUGUGAAACUGGAUUAACCAAGUAUUAUCAUUCCAAUUUCAUUUUGGUACUACAUUGCACUUUCAGCUAGAACAAUCAUCAUUGCUGCGUGGAUAGGAACCAUACGUUUAUUUUUGUGGAUUAUUGCUCUACUUUUAUCUUUGUGGCUCAUGGUACACCAUAUGUUUCAGCUCUGCAUAAGCUUCAAGUUUGAAUGUGAUAUUAUCCAUCAGACACAAGGCUGUCGUUAGCUAUCGGCGUUCAUUGCCUUAUAUGUGCUCAUUAUCGGGCAUGUCCAAAAUACUGAUUCUUCACUUCAGAAAUCAAAAGUUAUCAACAGCACAUGAGUCAUAUGCCGUCGGUCAAGAAUAACCGAGCUGUAGUGUGCUUUAACAUGAGCUACAACAUAGUAUUUUCUUCUUAAAUUUUUAAAAAAGUGCAAUGUUAAAAGAUUGAAAACCCUCACAGGGAACUCUUAUAAACCAAAAUUAGAUGUAAACUAUCUUAAUCCCCAAGUCUCUCUCAUUGAUGAAGGGGGACAUAUUCAUCCAGCAAACUCUUAGUACGCUAAUGUUAGUUGACCCAUCAAACGAACCCAACCUUCUAUUUUAGAUAGAUAGAUGUUGAGCUUAAAUCGUUUCAUUGGGAUCAGUAGAUGGGAAUAUAGACCAGUGGCCAACCGAGAUCCUUUCCUUGAAGUAAGCGAGCAAGAGCCAAUCAACAAGCCAUAGCCAGUGGAUUGGUCUCGGUAAGGGAAGAAAUUGCAUUAAUUUCUUAAGGAAGGCCAUAAUCAUAUUUAGGAGUAGGCUUCUUAUAGACAAAAAAUUUGGGCACUUAUUUGGAAGGAUUGUUCGAUGUUGCUGUUGUUUGUUUUCUUUUCUUUGUUUCUUUGGAGGAGGGAGCGGGCGGUAAAGAACAUAAAUUUAACACACAAUAAAUAAAACAAUAAAUCUAAUUUACGUAAAAAAAGAGGAUAAAAUUAAAUAUCGAUCAAGAAUUUCCCAUUUAUAAUGUUUUUAUGUUAUUUAUGGUCAGCAAUUUUACAUGCAAGCAGUCACCUUAGUCCAACUUGAUUGAUUCACUUUCAACCCCUCUAGUUUAACCUUUUGGAUAUCACUGCUUCCAUAUUAGUUAAAUUUGGAUGUGCCUCACCAUUGAGCCAUCUCGGCUUUGGGUUAGGACUUGUAGUCCUGAUACAGAGGUUGACUUGAUCAUUUGCCUUCCCUAGACAUUAAUUCUGUUUUUACCCAUCCUUCCAGCCUCACUGAACCCAACCUUCUGCCACCGCCAAACCAAUCCAUCUAUGGACCCGACCGGCGUUAAAAACCACGCACAAACCAAGCCCAUCAAUCAAAGAGUCGGCGUAGAUUCCAGACUCGUAGAUCCCUAGCCUUCAUCUCGGGUCCCCAGACCGGUUGCUCCCGGCCCAAGGCCGACUAAUUCAAGAUCCUAUUAACCUCUUCGACAAAGAGCAAGGUGUGGUGGCGGCGCACACAGAAGCCUGUAGAGAAGCGGCGAAACAGCGCCAAAACCUCGGCCUUCUUCCUUCCUCUCCCCUCACUUGGAUGUCGUCAUCUUCGCAGAAGAAACUCCUCUGUGCCCUGGCUCUCACCCUCCCUUCCUCCCCCAAACCCUUCCCUUCCUCCCCCUCUCUCUUCCUCCUCCUCCGCCGCCCUCCGCCGCUCGCCGCUCCCUCCCUCCGCUUCUUCGGCACCUUUCCGCUCCGAUUGCCGUCGCCCAUGUCGUACACCCACCGGGUACCGCGAUUCCUUCCCUCUCUAUAUUUCCGAAAAAAUCCGCAGGCUACGAUCACCUCUCCGAGCUGCGUUUCUUGAAUUCUUGAUUGUUGGUGCAGGGGAAUUCCGCUGCGAGAGAGAAGCGAUGGAAGAAGAAGCCGAGCUCCGUCCGGUCUUUCGCCGGCGGCGCGGACGGCGGCGAUCCGACGCCGUCUUCUGGGCCCGCGGUCUCUUCCGUCGCUGAGGGGAUCGGCCGGCUGAGUCUUGCGGAGAACGCGGGCCGAGGCCAUCCGGCCUCUCCGAUGCAGUCCGGCGGUGCGCUGCUGGCGAACCAGGGACCGGCGAAGGGUCAACAGGAAGGCGUAUGGGUGCCCAAGACUUACGCGACUGCGAGCAGUGCUGCUGCUGCACCGGUGGAGGUCGCCGCUGCGGAGCCAAGUCGGAGUUCUGCAGCGGUGGAGAAGGAUAAUAGCAAGGUUCGUGGUUUGACAAAGCUGUUCAAGGGUCCUCUAGGGGCGGAUUUCAACGUGGAUAACAACACGUUCUCUCAGGCUCAGAUAAGAGCUACGUUCUAUCCGAAGUUUGAGAACGAGAAGUCUGACCAAGAGGUAUUGUCAUCAUCUAGUUCCUCUUUUUUAAAUCUUUAUUUUAUAUACUUGCGCUCAGUUUGAAAGGAUUGAAGGUUCUCGGAGUGAUCGUUUUCUCCAGGGGCUUCUCAAGAUGAGCAUCUGCUAUUCUUUUUCUUUCCCUGAAUUAUGGUAGUUGAAUUUAUUCGAUUGCAAGAAGCUCAUCAUCUGGGAAUUCUUUUUUUUCUCCUAUUGUUAUUAGUCUUGAUGAGGAACUUGCUGAUUUUAGUGGUUUUAUGCUAUAACUAGAAAAUGAAAUCCCCAGGAAACUUGAUACAUUGACAUUACUUCCAGAGCAGGACAUAAAGAUGGGUGAAUAAAUAACUCAACACAAACAAGUAUGUGAGACCACCAACUUUGUAGACACAGUUAUCAGAUCUUCUCAUGCCUCCUCUUUCUGCCAUACCAAGUAGAAUUCAAGAGGGUUGAUUUGUUUGCCCACUAAUAUGAAUUGUCAUAUAGUGUAGCAUUUCUCUGGACAAUAAAGUUCACGGUUUUGGUGAUGCCUAAAUCCAAACCUUGUGGCAUUCUGAUUGAAGAAAAGAUACUUCUUCUGUAAGCCCGAUAAAAUUAUUCCUUGGAAGUUUGAUUCAAGUGUAGCCCCUUCUCCUUUUAACAUAAAUAUAAGAUCCUCCUUCUUGGAAUCUCCUUAUAUGUUUGUUGAAUAUGGACAUGCCCUCUGAAUUAAUCUUUUGUCACCUUGUCCUUAUUCAGUACAACUUUUAGGCUUCCUUUAGUAAAUUUAGUUUAACUAUGUUUUUUCCUUGUUACCUACGAAUCUUAGUAUAUUGGGCUACAUUAUGCUCAAUUAAUGAGCUUGCAAUGUGAUAUUGCUGGUCUUUAUGUUGGCCUACCAGAUUAAUUAUUAAGCACCAAAAUUCGACAUAUAGGGAUUCUAUGACGUCACAUAUAAAUGUUGUAAUUUGUUAUGCAUUAUAUUCCAGAAAAUAUACAGUUGUGAUUUAGGGAAUGGUAUUGUAGCUUAAUAUGCUUUAAUGCUCCAGUAUGGAGCACUUGGUGACCUAACAGAGGGCAAAGCAGUUUUCUAGGAGGCAAAAGUGAUGGAGCAAAAGGUAAAAUAAUCAGAAUCCUUAGCACUCAGGAGAGGCCUAUGAGGCGAGUAUAUCUUAAAGAUUAAACACAGACAUGGACAACUAGAAUGAGCUAAUAAAUGCUAAAACAAUUAAUUUGCACUAGUAUCCUGAAGAAUAGUAGAAACUUUUACUAGCACAAGGCAUAAUUUUCAAAAGAUAUUUGAAAGGGAUUAAAGGGGAGGAAAAAGCUUCAUCAUCUAGAAACGGAACUCCAAUAAAUUAGAAUAUUGAAAAUGAAAUAUGAAAUCCUAGGAAAUAUAAUUUGUUCUUACACUCAAUGAUGUGUGUGUAAUAGGGCUUGAAGUAUGCUACGCCCAAUCAUGGAACUUAAUAGGAGCGUAGUACAUACCCUUAUUUGUGAUCUUAAAAGAUCGCCAAGUGUUUGUAAAUGUAGGAGAAAUGCACCAUUUAGUAUUUUUCACAAGGGAAAGGGAAAGAGCAUAAGAUAUGUCAAAAUAGGACAACAAUCUAGUGUUAAGAUACUUGAACUUGGUUGUCCACAAAACUACUCAUAAGUUGACACUAGGUUGUCCGUAUGUUUAGAUUGUCCACAACAAGGGGCUCCUCCCAUCCAUAAAUCUCAUUGUAUAGUUUUGAUGGACCCGGACAGUAACCAAAAUAGUUUUUGUGAAAAGAGAUUAAAUAUUGCUUUCUAAUUGAGCAAUGAAUGUCUAUUUGGUCUGGGCUGGCAAAUGGCAUUAGAAAUUAUUUGUAGAUAUUGGCAAUUAUUUAACUAAUCUACUUACAAUUGGUAAUUGAAGUUAUCAGCUUGUGUAAAAAGAUACAAAUUUGAGGGCCAUUUCAUUUAGGGCCUCCUUAGUUUUUUAUUGCACUUGUUCCUUACUUUUUCUUGAUUCAUGAGUCAAUCCAAUCCCUGUCUCCUUUAAUGCAUUUGUUCUUUGUAGGACCGAAGUUGGGUCAAACCAGGUCGAGCUUGCCUAUAGCUUGGGUCCUAGCCUAGAAAACAAAAUUUGAGCUUUGAGCCAGGACUCAAAAAAUUUUCCUAGGCUACGGCCCAAACUCAACCAAAGCUCAACCAGAAGCCUUAUUAACCUGAUUUAUUGAGAGACAAGGGGAGGAGAGAGAUCGAAAGAGAAAUGAGAGAGCAAAAGGAGAGGAGUUUGGGAGAGUGGAGAGAAAGAUGGAGAGAGAGGGAAGAUCGGGAGAGAGAGAAGGGGGUAAUAGGGAGGGAAACAAUAGAGAGGAGAGAGAAGAGAGAGACAGAGGAAGAGAGGAGGGGGCAUUGGGAAUGUUGGAGUGGGGAGGGAGAGGAGUUGGGGGCACUAAGCAGUGCUAGAGUGCGGAUGAGGGCGGCGAAGCGAGUGAAGGCCUAGGCAAGCGAAAUGGAGGAAAAGGAAAGAGGAAUGGGGAGAGAGGGAGAGACAUAGAGAAGGGGGUUGGAGCCAAGUGGUGGUAUGGGAGUGGGGGAUAAUGGGUUGAGGGCAGGCUGUGCAAGGUUGGGCUUUGAGUUGGAACUUUGAGCUGAGCUUGAGCUAGGUCAAAUUUUUAUUUGGACUCUACAAUUAAGCCUGAACUUGAGCACAAACCUUCUUGAGCUAGGCCCAAAGCCUAGCUCGAAGCUAGCCUGCUUGAUAGGUCUCAGGCCAACCUGGGCCCAUUUCCAUCCACAGUUACCAAUCUAACCUUUUUGAUUAUACCACAUAUCGACUUCAGUGUUCUUAUAUAUGCCAAACAUGUUAUUUGGCUUGGAUACUAUAUUGCUGAAUAUAUUUUGAAAUUGCAUCAUCAUGAGACUUGUAGUAAUUUCCUUGAAGGAAUCAAGGCAUGCAUUGAUUGCAUAAGAAACCUGAAGCACCUUUCCACUUCAUAACUUGGCUUUCUUUUUUGUAGGUUUGUGGUUGUUUAUCUUGCUAUUCCUUAUCAAAACCAAGUUAAAGACUGCCCAAGAGAGGGAUAUAAAUAGAUGGUGGUUUCACCCUAAAUUACAACAAAUCUUGAUUUUUUGUAAAAUAUAAGUUAUAGUUUCCAAGUUAUCAAAUAAUGGCAUAAGGAGCCUAAUUGACAAGAACUGUUGAUUUACUUCCUUAUGAGUUUCUUGAUCCAACAAGUGGUAGAUUCCACUAGGACUCCAAAUAUGAAUCUGGAAAUAGGUAAAAUCAGAUUAUAUAAGUUAAGGUUGCUUAAAAUUUAAAUGAGCACAAGGAAUAAGAGUGAAGAGCGUAGGGACUGCUGCUUGAGAACUCGUUGAAUACAUAGUUUAGGGAUUCCAUUCAAAUAUUCUCAUGCUUUGCAGCUGGAGGUGUCAACUCUCUUUAAUUCCUUCCACUGUUUUUAGGAGCCCAAGAUGCUACCAUGAAAAUUUCCUGCUUUCAUCAUCUCCUGAAUGUUAGAUUUUAUGUAACAAACAGUCAUGUAUCUUCGGUCUUUGGGACUGUUGUGGACUCUAAAAGAGGCUCACCAAUGAUUCAGAACCAAGAUUAGCAAAUUCAAGACUUUCAGUAAUCUUAACCAAAUUGGCCCCAAACAUAGCCCAAAACUAAGAAAUUUAGUGUGCUUAUCAUUGUUAAUUAAAUCAACUUUAGGUCUACGAACUUAUUUGUUUUCAGCCCUUUGGUAAUUGCUUGCUAUUUUGUGACUAUUAACUCUCAGCAAUGUUCAGAGUUUUUUUAUCCGAUCUCAUUUAAUGUAUGUAUGGAUGUUGUACAACUCUAGGCACGAUUCUGUUUCUCAUGUAAUUCAAAUACAAGCGUGCUAAUGCUCGCCAACUAUAUCGUUUUGGUAUUGUAUCUUGUGCAUCUUACUGAGGCAUUGUAUUUUUCUCUUUUUCUGAAUCCCUUCAUUUUUUUUUCCUGUUUCAUAUUUGUCGUAUUUGAUUGUGUAUACAGUUUGGGAAGUUACAUCCACAUUGCCCCUCAAGGCUUAGGUAAUUGGUUACUUCCAACUGCAGGUUAGAACACGGAUGAUAGAGAUGGUGUCUCACGGCCAAGCAACCUUAGAGGUAUAGCUCAACUAUUAUUUGCUUGCUCUACACUCUCUGGGUCAUGGUAGUGUAUCGUCUGUAGUUCAAAUAUCAGUAAUCUCUUUGAUGGCUGUCCUUCAGAUAAGUGGAUGCCUUUUGGAAUCAAUUAUAAUAGUUCUGAAAAGGGCCCACAUAAAACAUUUGGCUGAACAAACUUACUGGGUAUCAUUGUUCUGAAUGUUACUUUUAAUUAUUUUAGGUCUCACUUAAACACUCCGGGUCUCUUUUUAUGUAUGCGGGUCAUGAUGGUGGAGCAUAUGCAAAGAACAGCUUUGGGAACAUGUAUGUUUGCAAACAACAUGGUCUUAGUUUUUGUUCGAAUCUAUGUUAUUCUAUCUCGGAAGCAUGAUAUUGAGAAGAUAAUACUUUGGAAUAGGUAUACUGCAGUUGGUGUUUUUGUUCUGGGUCGAAUGUUUCUUGAGGCAUGGGGCCCUGAAGCAAGAAGAAAGCAAGCAGAGUUUAAUGAUUUCCUUGAGGUAUUUGCUUGUUAUUUUUGUGUAACAUCAUCAAUUACUUUUUUGAGCUUUUAACCUUUCUGCAUAUAUUUCGUUGAGGUAUUUGCUUGUUACAAACUCCAUAAGAGCUAUUCCAUAAAAACUUUAUCAGUAAGGCUCAAUUAAGCUGAAAUAACCUGAGUUUUUACUUAGAUUUAAUUAUUUACUUUGUGGUAUGAUGGAAUAAAGGGCCAGCAUUAAUUUAUUAGUAUAAAAGGAGUGUUGCUCUAGCUUCUAAUAGGAACAAUACAGGGAAGUAAUUUGCAAGGAAGUUAUGUUCUUGUUAUCAUACACUUCUUUCAAAUCAUUUCAGCUUGUAUUUGGAUCUUCUAAUCAUGUUGACUGAAAAAAAUAGUUUUCUCUUGUUAAAAUAUUUUCAGUUAUGGUGUUUGUACAUAGGUAGGAGUGUAGGACUGUAUUCAAAAUGUAUUUGGCCUUGUUGAAGGAGCUCUCGAGGUUCCUGAUAUUUGUGAAUGUGGUGCAAAAGGAACAAUGCCAUGCACAUCAUUUGUCAAUUAUACUAUUCAGUACCUUUGCACUAAAUCUUACCCUUCCACUACAUUUGCUCUUAUGGGCAUUUUUAUAGGCAUAUAUGACUUUUCUUUCACCAUCAAGAGUACUAGACCACUGCUAUACAAUAAUUAAUGUAGUUUCCUGAGUUGAUUCAUGAAUUGGAGAAAAAAUGUGCUCCAUUUUAUACAAAAUUUAGGAGCCAAAAAACCUGUGCCUUCCACUAACUCACAGAUAGGAGGUCCGAGGGCUUGGGGUAAAGUUAAGCAGUCUAUAAAUGAUCUAAUCUGUGAGUCUAUAUAUAACCAUUUGCUAUUUGAGUUGUCAUCUUGACUUGCAUAUGUUCUUAAUCUAGUAUAAGGAAAGCUAGGUUGUAUGUCGGGUCAUGCGGAGUGUAAUAUCUCAUGCUAUUCUUAGCGACUACCUGACUUUUUUCAUCUAGUUGAAAAGGAAAAAAUGUUUAAUGAUAUUCUCUUUGUACUCAUGCACCUUCCCUGCUUGUUCCUCUUGUGAUGCACUUCUUCUUGCACUCUAUCUUAUAAAAGCACACAUGCAGACAUAGAUACUUGUAGGCCUUCCAGGAGAAUUGUCAUGCUGCAACUAUUUCUUUUUGUACAAAUGUGCAAUUGGCAUUCAUUCACUUUUCUGUAGUAUUUCAUUACUUUUUCCACAAGAUGAAUUGAUCCUCACCGUAUAUGUUUUUUUUUGUUGUAGAAAAAGCGUGUUUGUAUAUCAAUGGAAUUAGUCACUGCUGUUUUAGGAGACCAUGGGCAACGACCUAUUGAUGAUUAUGGUACAAGGAUUGUUGUUUACAUUAAGUAUUUUAAUGUUUGUCAUUUUUUAUUCUGAAGGUAAUGGAAAUACUUGAUGUUAUUCCUGCAUAAUAUGAUUCCCAUUGUGACAUCUGCUAUUUGUAUUGUAUCGAUAUUUUUGUAACUACCAUGUAAGCCAUGCUCCAAGUAGUUGCAAAUCAAGCUGUGUUGUUUCUUUAGAUGGUACUUAUCUACAAUAUUUAUACCUUCUAUAUAAUUCAAACUGCUAAUAUUAUGUUUCUUCUUUACUUGGUUUUCCUAUUCAACCAUGGUUUUUUAGUAUUCACCAACAACUGGAUUUCUUUAACCACUUCAUCAUGUAUUAUAAUUGAUUUUAAAAGGAAGGGUGAAGAAGCUAUAUCAACAAGUAAUUAGUUUAGCCAUCCAGAUUCUAAUUUUAGAAUACAAAUAAAAGUUCUAUUGGCUUAUGGUAGUUUGUAUUAUCAAAAGCCACUCUGCAAUGGCUUGACCAUCUGUAGUAUCCUUUCUGGAAAGCUGUUGAGAGGCUUCUAGAUGUCUGAUUUGUCACUAAAAUACGCUACUUCUAGAUAGACUGAUCUGUCACUAGAAUACGCUACUUCUAGAUUGUCCGAUCCGUCACUAGAAUACACUACUUCUAGAUUGUCCGAUCCGUCACUAGAAUUGCGUCAUAUUAAGCAUACUGAUGUGCUCUUUCUUUUUUUUAUAAUAUAAUUUCAAUACUAAAUGAUCCACAAAUAUGUUGUCAGGACAAGGUUACUAAUUUAUACAUAAAUAAGUACAUAUGCAUGAAACUCAUACUGGGGUGUUCUAAAGGCAUGCUGGAAUGCAAGUGAUGUCCAAGCAACAUCAGGGGAUAUUCAUUCUUUUGCAUCCCCGCAAUAUGUUUUACAGUCUCAUUUCCUAGUGGAAAUAGUAGAAUAGAAGGUCUUCUAAUUUGUCCGUAUUAGUUUCUUUCCUGUCUCUAUAUCACUUUCUUGCUUGGGCUCAAGGUCCCGUCAUUGGUUGUUCAACUAGAUGUGAAGGGCAAAAAUUCAUCAGUCUGUAAGAUAGAUUUGCCUUAGAAGGCAUAAGCUGUGAGGAUAUUCAGACUGAAGCAAAUAAGACAGAAUAAAAGAAGAGAAUCCAAUGUGAUAUUGGAAGAGUGAUGAUGAGAGAAGAUAAGAAGAAAAGAAAGAGAAAUAAGUUUCUUAGAUGUGGGGCAAUCUAACAGAGCACAUCUUCAUCCAUCUAUUUGAGUGCACCAUAACCAUCAGCCAAGUGGCCUAAGUCUUCAUGCCCAUGCCUGGCCACAAUAUUAAUUACGACUUGUUGGCUUUGAGACUGGUUCAGCCUAUUUUCAAAUAUCCAUCUAGCUAAUAGUCUAAUAUGCGUUAAAUUUUAAAGUAAGAAUUCUUACAACUUACAAAUGAAAUCAGACAAUGACUUGGCUGUGACUAGUAAUUGUAUCAGCAACUUGAUCUUGAGACAUAAAUUAAGGAACACAAAUUUCCUCCCUUAAAAUCUUUUCUUAAAUGAACAGACUGUCAUGUUUCAAGAAGAUACACUUAAGUAUAAAACAGUUUGUAGGGGUAUCAGUCAAAUUACUAGGAACUAUGCAGUGCAUAGGUUAACUAAAAUCAUUAUAUAGGGUGUACUGCACCGUACCAGUAGGGAAUCCAUACACUACAGGGGUUCGAUAUGGUACCAUAUUGACACAUGGUAUUGGUAUUGUGCCGACUUAGCACCAUUAGUAUGUGUCCUUACAUGGGCAUAUCAUACCGUGUGAUGUUUUACCAUGCCAUACUAUAGGGAUCUAGUUCCAAGAUGUAAAACCUGGGUAAAUAUCUUUAUACAAUGGUUAAGAAUAGUUAAAAAUUAGUCUAUAUUUGAAAAAAUCGACAAAAGGAAAUAUCAUAUAGUCUAAAUAUUGUGAAUCUCCUAAGAGACCAAGAAAUCUUUUUGUGCCAGUAUGUGCGAGAUUAUGACUGAACACUACAUGCAUGGUGUGCCAUCUAUUGACUGGAAUUGUUGCAACAUGCAAUUCUUCAUCAUUACCUUCUAUGAGAGGAUUUAUUUUUCUGUUUUUCUUGAUUUCAUGACUGCAACAUGUCGGUGGUCUCUUGUUUGUGUUUAAGUAAGCUCUUGGUUUCACUUACUUUUUUUGCAACUAUUUUAGAUCAUGCUAUUUCUUGUUGCUUUUGUUUCGAUGGAGUCCAUUUGUUUAUUUUCUGCAAAAUCUUUAUCAGUUACUUUAUGUUAGUGAUCUCUUGAUACUUUUGUUCCUGUUACUUUUGGACAGUCGUGGUGACAGCUGUAACAGCAUUGGGCCAUGGCAAGCCAAAAUUUUACUCUACUCCUGAGUUAAUUGCAUUCUGUAGGAAGUGGCGGCUACCAACAAACCAUGUUUGGUUGUUCUCAACAAGGUGAAGAUCUAGGUUCAUCUAGCUAUUUCACCGGCUUAUAGCUAUCAAAUGUAUAAUAAUGAGGGUUUAUCUUUUUUUGACAUCUUUGCAGAAGAUAUUUUGCAAUUUGACCUUGUCCCACUGAAGUACCUUGGUUUUGAUAUGCCAUUUUCCUGGCGAAAUUGACAGACUAAUCAUGUUCUUUCUGAAUACCAUUUCUACAUGUAGCUCAAUUAUUAUAAACAUAAUUGAGAAACAAAGGCUGAUAGUUGGUACUUGUUAAUCGUCAUUAGAGCUGUAUGGUUUGGCCAUCAUGUUGAUCCCAAAUUCCCAAUUAUAUGGAAGAGUUGUAUUGUUUGUGUUUAUAAUAUUUCAUCAUUUCUUCUUCACAAUAGAUACCCCAGCAGGAAAAAUUAGGUUCUAUUCAGUGAUAUUUCAUCAAUAGUUUGCACAUUAUUCUGCAUUAAAAAUUAUAAUCUAUAAAAAGUUUGUCCUCACCAAUUACUACAAUUGUAAUAAGACAUCAUUUUUGGACACUUGAAUGUCAUGUUGUUUAUAAAUUUCUUUUAACUCGGCCCUAGUGUAUUUCUUGUUUUCCAUUUUUCUCAUUUUAAAUUCUGAAUACUAGCCAACUCCUUAUGCUGGAAAAUUAACUUUAUUUGGUUGAGUUGUCUGCAUUUUUUUUAUAUGGAUCCGUGAAAGAAAUUCUUUUUUCCUGACUCAAUUUCUUCUGUUACUCAAGGAAAUCUGUGACUUCCUUUUUUGCUGCAUAUGAUGCACUAUGUGAAGAAGGAACUGCAACACCUGUAUGCAAAGCCCUUGAUGAAGUUGCUGACAUAUCUGUACCAGGUAAUCAUAAUUGAAACUUGCUCUACAAAUUAUUAAUUUAAGAAAUAUUUCUUUAGUUAGUUUUGAUUAUUCUUGUUUGGUAUUGACAUUGAAGUGCUUAUUUGCAGUUGUUGAACUUCUAAAAUAUUAAAAUCAUAACUCUAUUUUUUCCAUUUUUGUUGUCUAGGAAGCUGAUGGCACUCUUUGAUCUUUUAGAAGUUCUAUGAGAACUGAAGCUUUUUAUUGGCUGACUUGCAGGGUCAAAAGAUCAUGUAAAGGUACAAGGUGAAAUUUUGGAAGGUUUGGUUGCUCGUAUUGUUAGCCAUGAUAGCUCAAAACAUAUGGAGAAAGUUUUGAAGGAGUUCCCUCCGUCGCCAUUUGUUGGAGGUAGCCCAUUAAGUUUUAGAUUCCUACAUAACUUAUCUUUCGAAAUUUAUUUUUUUUGUUUUAUGUCAGAAAUAUAAUUUUUGAAUGGUAUAAGUCAGGAAUAAAAUGAAGAAGACAGUGUAAAAGCUAAGAUAAUUGAAUGGAACAGUAGAGUCAUAGAAGUAAAUGGAAACAAAUUGACAUUGGGACAUAUUCAUACUGCAACAUUGGGGCAGCAAGAGAUCUAAUUAGCAGCAUAGACUGACCAAUAUUGCCGAUAUUCUGGACUAAGAUACACAUUACCAAAAGACUUUCUUCAUCUACUCAGGAUUUUGUUAAGAUAUAUUGCCAAUCCUGGAUUGGACCAUCUGAAAUGGGAAGUCUUCACGUCUUUUUGCAUUCUCCUGUUAGACUUCUCUAUAGUUCAUUUUUCUCAUUUUCUGAUCCGUAUUAUAUCUUGAGAUCCCUUCUUGUGAGGAAUGUUGCUGCCCUACUGUGAAAUACUUUAUCACUUUACAGAUGUUAUCUUGUGUGCUUUGUGCAGCAAAAUGCGGCUCUAAUCAUGUUAUGCUAAUCCUUUAGUUUUUGCCCCUUCUUGCUGCCUGCAGUCCGUUUUGAUAGACUUUUUCGCUUUGGGAUUUGGUUUGAAAAGAAGAUUUUUGGUGGAUGUCGGUCUCUGUUUUUUUGAGAAAAUUGGAGCAGAUUAUGCUGUUUGGCAUGCAGAAUUAUUGCAUAUGUGGCGUUGCUUAGUGUAAAUGGCUGCAUAAUGGCUAGGCCUGCAUAGGACUCUGAGUAUCACGGGAGUACACAUUCUUUUCUUUUGGUCUGUUGUUUGGCCUCCUCCUUUGAGAGACCAUAAAAAUGCUAGGCCUCUGCCUCCAGAGGAUCAACAAAUCCUCAAUCUUUAAUGAAAAUUGCAUCAUUUCCUUACAAUAAACAACUUACAAUUUGGUUCCAUACCAUCUACCGUUUAAGACUUUGUUUCUGAAAUAAAUUGCAGCUUUCUUCUUUCCCUGUUUCCCAUCAAGAAACGUGUCAUAUACCUGUAACAUGAUAAUUCACAUUGCCUAUCUUAUCUUUGGAUGUUAUUACAAGAACCUUGCUAAACCCACACACAACCACUUAGUAAAAACAGUUUUUGUUGCCUGGGAAGAAAUGGUUAGGAAACUUGUUUUUGAAGUCUCAUAGUAUUUUAGAACUGGGAAUUUUGUAUUAUUCCCUUUUUUUACUGAUUAUAUUAGGUGCAUAUACACAUGUUUGGUUAGAAUCUUGUAAUGCAACUGUUUGAUUCAAUAAGCUAACUUUUUCAUUCAUAAGCAAAAAGUAACAAAUCUUGCUUUUUUGUGCAGCUGACCUUGAUUUAGGACCAAGUUUGCGUGAAGUGUGUGCUGCUAAUAGGUCAGAUGAAAAGCAGGUUUUAUUCUUCUCGUCCUCUUUUGUUCUACCGGAUGCUGCCUGUUUCAUAAUCUGACUUUUAGAUUCCAUUAAUUUUCAAUGUUUCAACAUCUCUCUGACAUUAAUAUUAUUUCUAUAGCAAAUCAAAGCACUUCUCGAGAGUGCUGGGACUUCUAUGUGUCCAGAUUACUCUGAUUGGUUUGGAAAUGGAGAUGUUGGUGUCCUUUGUCGAAAUGCUGAUCGAUCAGUCCUUUCAAAAUUUUUACAAGCUCAUCCUGCAGAUUAUGCAACUGUCAAGUUGCAGGUAGGCUACAUUAAUUACCUCAUUUGUUCUUUAUAUUAUCAAUUUAGCUUUGCAUCUAGAUUUUCUUAAAUAAAAUCAAGAAAUCCUUUAUGGCUGGAUAAUUGUUUGCAACAUGAGAAUUGAUUGUCUAAUUCAACAAUGUGAUUGUAGUUAUUCAUUUUUCAGCAAACUACUCUUGGUACUUCUAAGUUUCUACAUAUGUAUUAAUGAACACAACUUUUAUGAAUAUGUGGAAGUUUGUGAAAUAUUUUUUAUAAUAGAUGGAUUUUCUAACCUAAUAAAAUUGGAAAUUUUGUUUGAAAAUUAAAUCAAUUGACUAUUUGGUUAUGUUUUCCUUUAAAUUUGGAAUUAUCCCUUAUUUCAAGAUUUUCUCAUCCCCCCUUUUAGAAGUUUAGAGGAAUUAAGUUGGGCUAUUACGUUCCAUGAGCUUGAAUGACGUAAUUUACAAGGCUUAUCUCUUUACUUCCCAACUGGUCUUGUAUGUGUCAAAAUCAAAUACUAUCUUGUUCAAGAAUUUGGUGCAUUUGUGUUAGUGGAGCACCUCUUUGAGAGCUAGAUGUUCUCCAAGUUGAGCUAGAUGAUGUAAUGAAUGAUACCUUGUAAUGCCGGGGAGGUGUUGAACUUGAGCUGAAAACUUGAAGGACAAUGGAUAUGUCGAUGCAACUGAUUGUGGUGAGGUAGAAACCUCACUAUGGCAUGAACGAUGCAAGGGGUUGGCACCUAAAGAUGGUGAUGAUUUGCAAGCCAAUAGGCUCUCAACAGGGGCAAACGAUAAUUAGAAGAAGAGCAAGGGCAGGUCACUCUCUUCCGAGGCCAAAAGCACCACCUUAGCCGAACAAUCCAAGGGUACAACCAAAGGUCGCCAUUUCAAUACCGGACCUUGUUCCGAUACCAUCUUAUUACAGUGUUGAUACGCGGUACGAUACGAGAUGGCGAAGCGUACCUAGUGUCGAUAUGAUACGAAAUUGUGUACUGGUUCGGUACCGAUAUCAAGGUUCGCCGGACCGACCGUACCGGCGUACCGGUGAGCACCGGCACUGGUACGGUUUCGGUUCGGUACCGACUUGGAACCGGUACCGAACUGGAGCCGCGCACGCACGGACAUAAAAAAAAACAACGCGUCCGCGGAAGCGCGGGGACGCGUCAAAUGCCACAGAGUGGCAUUUAAAUGGCCCACGCAGGCUGGCAGCCUGCGCGGGCGCAGUUCCCCGCUUGCGCGUCCACGCGUGCUUCCCAAAAAAAAAAAUCACCGCGUCCGUGCGGACGCGUUAAAUGCCACAGAGUGGCUUUAAUUGCCACUCUGUUGCAUUAAGAGGCCCACGCGGGCUCCAGCCGCGUGGGCGCUCUUCUCCGCGCGCCCACGCUCGGGAAAAAUGUGCUUGGACCGGUUCGCAUCGGUACCGGCUUGUACCGGCGUGAACCAGCCCGGUUCGCAUCGGUACCGGCUUGUACCGGCGCGAACCGGCCCGGUUUGCACAGGUACAAGUAUGGAACUGAUCGGUUCCGACUCAGUUUGGGUCGUAACCGUUUUUGUACGUUGUACCGUACUGGUACCCGUCGGCACCGGUUCGGUACAAGCUGAACCGACCGGUUCCGCUAGCAAGAUCCGCCGUAUCGGUACCGGUUGGCGUACCGGUGGCAGCCCGGACCGGUACGAAACCGGUCCCGUACCGGUCCGAACCGGUGGCGUACCGGUUCCGUACCGGUUCUUCAACAAUAAACUACCGGUACCGGAUUCCACGUUGAUUCGGUAUCGGUCCCAGGCCGGACCGGUACGGCAGACCAUGGGUUCCGGUGACCGGUCGGUUUGGCAUACUUUAACCGAUAUAGUACAAUAAAUCCUGUACAGUACGGUACCGACCAAUACGGCAAACUUUGGGUACAACUCUCACAUGCUCACUCGCAAAUUCUACGAAUUCACCAAAAGGGAGCAGUAGAGAGAAGGCAAUAACAAUUUUCAUAAGAGAAUUAUCACUAAUUAAUAACUCAACUAUCUCUGAUAUGAUCACAAGAAGAGUCCUAAUGGGGGUAUUUAUAAGUAGUAUAAGAGGGCUCUUUUCUUCAACCUUUUAAUGUGGGUUUCCAAGUUUUAUUCUAACUCAAAAAAUCCUAACUACCAACUUUCCUAAUAAUAUUAAUAGUUCUCAAAAAGAAAAUUCACAAAAAUCAAAACUAACAUCUAAUUUUUUUGAGAUAGAAAAAUAACUAAUCAUCAAAAAAUAGGUGCCCACGCGUACGGGAUCUACAACCCGUGCGGCCGAAACUCGCGACCCAUGUGCAUCCUAAGCACUUUGGCGUCAUACUCCCUGGUUGGAGAAGACUCGCCUUCAAGUCUUGGUCUUCUUGGUUUUCAUAGUAAGGCGAUAAGUCAACUAUCUUGAAUGUUGCAGGUACGCCAAUCUCUAAGAAGUUCAAUUUUGUAGGCAUUAUCAUCGAUACAUUUCAGAACUUUGAAAGGGCCAUCAAAUGUUUUGUUGCACGAUGUUUCGGUGGCAAAUCGCACUACUAUGAAAACCAAGAAGAUAUAGUCCUCAAAGUUUGAUGAGAAGACGAGAUCUGGAUAAGUGCAAUUGAAUGAUUGAUAAAAUAAAUACCAGGGUCAAACGGAGUGGAGAGAUACAGGAAGCAUAGCUUGGGGCCUUGCAACAUGAUAGGCUGCCCAUGGUCAUUGUACUUCUUCACGAGUGGGCUUGCUUGAUGAGAUGUGGUAUUGUUGUCUUUCCAGCAUGAGCCAUGUUGUGCAACAUCUUCAAGUUAAGCUCAUUUGACGCGUAGGUUGAAUUUGGAGACAUUAAAGACCAUUGGCCUAGAAGCAUAUCGCGACUUCCUCCUUCUAUCAUGCCAGUGUCCAAAGAUGGUUGAACCACAAUGUCCUCAAUGUGACCCUCUGGCAGAAACCCAUGAAUCGGAGGAUCUAAUAAUCUGUUAGUCACUGAAAGUUCAUCCAUAGCACGAAAUAUAUCGUCAAAGUUAGAUCUCUAGUAGGCAAGGGGAGAUCUAAUGCUGUGUGCCUCUGUUCAAGUUUUCCUACCAUUAUCAUCUAUCUCACAACUUUUAUUCUUUCAUUUGAAGCAAAGAACAUGUGCUCUGUCCUGUAGAGUCCCAUCCCUUCCGCAUCAUUAUUUCUUGUUGUCAAAAUUCCCACUGCCGCAUCCAUGGCAUCAACAUCCUCUGGGUUAGUCUUUGUCCUCACCAAAAUAAUAGUCUUUCCUCGGGCACGCCAUGCUUCGGCAUCAUCGGUAGCGAAUUGAACUUGACCAACUGUAAUUUUCGGUGAUGCAGGCAAGCCUGUAGUAAUCACUUCAUCUUUGUAUGCAGAUGGGUCUUCGAACUGUGGAUGUAGAAGUUGGUCUAGAUGUCCUAGUUCCACCAUCCAACAGAACAGCAGGCCAUCGAGAGUUCUCUGCAUGUUGUGGGUAGCCUUCUCGGGACAUGAACACAUGAAGAACUCUGCUUUCCGCAGGGUAUUCCAACAUUGUGGAAUGUUGGGCUGCUCUCUUGAAGAAUGAACUUAGAGGCGAGAAUUUGAACUUCAGUGUAGUUGACAUCCCACUUGGUCAUGGAUUUGAUGAAUUUGGGGUCGAGGGAUAGGGCCGCAUUGUUGUUCUUAAGGUGCACAGUGCCCUGUUUCAUGACCUCGUGGGCCAACUCCUGGUGCUUUUGGUAUGCACAUGCUGGAGGGCCUAGCAAACCAUAUUCUAGCUUUCGUAGAUCAUCGUCGAAGAAAUCAAGAUGCUUCAAGACCAUUAUAUUGUUAAUUAUGACCUUCACUGCAGCUAAGGUGUGAUGCCCAUGUUGUAGCAUCAUCUGUGAUUCCUGUGUUUGUUGCUAGUGAGGAAUAUAUGGCCCUUGUGAAGUGUUCUUAGUAUGGAAGAUGUUGGAGCAUAACCAAUCUUCUUCAGCAACUACCAUAUUCGUAUCAAAGUUGCUGCGGACCACCAAGCUUCACCUUGAUCGGCAUACACUAAUUCUUCUUCGCUUGAGCCUUGCUCAUCGCACUUGACUGGCUGAUCUUCUCCUUUCUCUUCUGUUCACGAUUCUUCUUCCACUAAAGAGACAAGCUUUCUAUAUGUGCAAUAUGCUCAAACGUUUAGCACUUGAAACACUUGCGAGCAAGGUUCGCUAUCUCGAUACCGGACCCCGUACUGGUGCCACACUAGCACAGUGUCGGUACGGUACGGUAUAAAUUUUUUUUGACAUACCAAGUGUUUGUACACCACCUGUACUGGGUACCGGUACAGUACGUUACAUCCUGUGCCACCUGGUUCGAGCCGGUACAACGUACCAUGCUUGUGAGGGUUAGAGGUGACAAUGUUGGAACGAUUGGGGUUACUGAGGAUACAUUUGUCCUUUCGAGAUGGUUGGGAGAUACUGCAUUUAGAGGAUACUGAUGUCUUUGACACGGAAUUCCUCUAGUUGGAUGCUCCAUCUCUAUACUUUGGAAAGUGUGAUUUAUUUAUUCUUAAUUGUUGCUUCUCAACUUUUGUUGCUAAUAGUAUCAUGUUGUUCAGCAUCUAAUAGGGUUGGAGUUGCACGACUUACUCAAUUUCUGGCUUCAAUCCUCCAAGAUAUGACACUAUAUUUUGCUUUUCGGGCUUCUUGAUAUGUGUAUGUAUAUAUAUGUACAUGUAUGUAUGUAUGUAUGUAUGUAUGUAUGUAUGUAUAUAUAUAUAUGUGUGUAUAUAUAUAUAUGUAUAUAUAUAUGUACGUAUAUAUACGUGUGUGUGUGUGUGUGUGUGUGUGUGUGUUUGUGUGUGUAUACACACACACACACAAAGAACCUGUUUUGUUGGUUUGACCGGUAAGUGGCGAUCACAAAAUAAUGAAAUGGUGGCUAAGUAAACCAAAAUUUGAACUGGCUGAACUAAGUUAAGUAAAUAAGUGGAUUUGCAAUGGAAACUUUUUAAGAAUAUUUCCUUGCUGGUUUUAUGUGUGGUUAUAUGUUGCAAUUAUUAUCUGAGUAUUAUUUUCAUCUGUUUAAUAUGUGGUGAUUAUGGGGCCUUCUAUCCUGAGUUUAUGUUGGCGAGCUUCAGUAACACUUUAAUUUACGUAGUUCUUAUUAUAUUAUUUGUUGCUGUGGCUAUUUUCAAAAUGAUUUUAUUUGUUUCUUUAAUAUUUGUAAUUUCUGACCUAAGUUGUCCUGUGAUCUUUUUAUUUGUAAAAUACAACAGGAGAUGAUCCGUUUGAUGAGACAAAGGCAUUUUCCUGCUGCUUUCAAGUGUUAUUGUAACUACCACAAAAUUGAUUCUCUAUCAGUUGACAAUAUUUACUUUAAGAUGGUUAUCCAUGUCCAUAGUGACUCUGUUUUUCGGCGAUAUCAGCAAGAAAUGAGGUCUGCUUGAAAAUAUCAAAUGAUACACCUUUUGUUCUCGAAACAAAAUGUGAUUUAGCUUUUGUCUAUUUUAAGAUUUGUAUUUUUGUCAUAGUUUUUUUUUCCUUGAGUUGUAUAACCUUGUUUUCGUUUUUUUUGUCUUCCUUUUCUUUCCCCUCCUUACAGGAGAAACCCAGGACUGUGGCCAUUGUACAGGGGUAAGGAACUUUUCUCUCUGUUGUUUUAUGUGCUUUCUCCUAUGUUUACUAGAAUAUUUUGACCAUCAUGUUUAAUUUUAUCUAUACAGUUCCAAUUUCUAUCUUUAACCAUGUUCUUUUUGUCUCAUUUCUUAUUUGAAAUGUUAAUGAGGAUCAGAUGGUCACUGAACUACCAUUGAUGUUCUUUAUUUGGAAAGUCUUAUCUUUAACCAUGUUUUUUUUUUGGUGCUAGGGUUUUUCCUUGACAUUAACUUGUUCAAGGUAAACAAAGAGAGGGCCACUGAACUUGCAAAAGACAGCAAUGCCCUAUUAAAGAGUAUCAAUGGUAGUUGCGAUUCUAGUGCAUUAGCAUCAGAUGGUCUAGCUAAUGAGGAUGCAAAUCUGAUGAUAAAACUAAAAUUUUUGACGUAUAAGGUAUGGUUUUUCCUACUCUGUAAAUUGAGUAAUACGUACUUGCAGUGGGACAAAGUUUACAUUUAUUCUGCUAUUGCAAGAUAUGCUUGUUAUUGAUGAUACCUGAUGGAAAUUGUAAUUGCUUCAGAUCAUUUCAUCUGAUUCUAAUUGUGUAAAGCCAAACUCAAUUCUCAUUUAUCAUGCCAAAAGGGAUUUUGACCUGUAUUAGAAAUAACCUAAGUGUUUUUUUAUUGCCUGUUUAAGAAAAUUAUGGCUGACAGACAUUUAGUAAGUUUCAUAUAUUUAAGUAAUUCAAUGAUUUGUUCAUUGUUUCUGCAUGUGUUUUCUACUGUCUACCUGCUGUAUAGGAAAUUUCUUGAGGAUCUAAAAGGCUUUGCUGUGCUUUAGAUCCUUGCUAUUGUCAUUUGAGUGCUGUUUCAUUUCACCAAAAACAAUGUGAAGUGAAUAUCUUGAAGAGACUUGUUUUUCCCUUUUUGACCCACCCCUAUUGGUUAUUUGUUUUGGCUUGUACAAUUCCCUGAUUGUAGAUCUGAACUUUUAUUUUUUCAAAAAAUAUACCUUAGGUCUUGAGUGGAAGUAUGGAACCAAAUAUUAUUGAUCAGGUUUUGACCCAGUCCGAACUAAUCAAAAAUAAUUUUUGAAACAUAAAACUCUUUAGACUCUUAACAGAUUAUCGGAGUUGAUAAAUAUUCUUCUUCUACUACAAUGGCUCAGACUAAAUUGCAAAUACUUAAAACAUUUUUUGUACAUAACAUAUUCAGGAUUUCUAAUUUGUGGCAUCGAACCAUAACCACAUCCAUCAGCCCAUGUCCCGACUGUUUGGGGGUGCAUUGUGAAUAUUUUGUUACCGGUUCAACCAACUGUUCUAUUAAGUGUUACGGCCUGUUUCAUUGAGGUACCUAGAUCAAAUGAUAAGGCUGAUUGGGGAGAAACCAAAUUUAGCUUUGCAUGUCGUGUUUAUUUCUAUAGCUAUAGAUGAGAAUUAUCCCAUCAUUAUUUGCUAUGCCAAAAUCUUGAACUUGCAAUGUGAUGCUUAGUAGGUGGAACAACAUUCUUGCAAGCACAUAAUGUCGCUUCAGUUGGGUGUCAAAUUUAUUUAUUUAUUAAUUAUAGUGUGUUUGUUAAUUAUUUAUUUAUAUUGCACAGUUGAGGACAUUUUUGAUUCGAAAUGGUUUGUCCACACUCUUUAAAGAUGGUCCAUCAGCUUAUAAAACUUACUACUUAAGGUAUGUAUGCCGUUCCUGCACACUUAACCAUCUUGAUAGUGACACAUGGAGUUUGCUUUUCUAUUUCUAUUCAAGUGGUUAUACAAUUCUCUCUUUAACAAGUUAUUUUGCUAGAUAUAUUUCUCAAAAAUUCAGUCUAGCUGUGUUGAUGUCAUUCUGUUACUGUGUUAUUCUGUUUCUUUUGUAUUGAUUGGUUUCUGCAUCUCUUCAUCAAAGAAUGUUGAACUAUAAAAAGCAUGUCUAGUUGAUUCCUGUAAGUAUCAUUUAACUUAUCCGGUGAUGCUUAUGGAAAUUAACAAUACCACCCAAGUAAUGAUUCUUUCUUCGAGAUAUGCUGAAAUACAUUUUGUAUAUUAUAUUGAUAUAAAAUUAUAAAUCAUGUAAGACCUCAUUAUGAUCAAUACAAGCAACUUCUAAUGAGUCCUACAAGUACUAGAAAGACCUUGAUGAUCAAGAAAAAAGGAUGUCUGUGAGAACUGUCUGCAAACCAAUUCAUAGCAUAAAUCAUACAAACCAGAGCUACGGAACUAGGUCUAUAUUUAGCAUCACGAACUCUCUGAUUGUUCUGUAUAGUUGUGGCCUCCCAGAUUUUAUCCUUCCAAUGAAUACAAUAAGGGCAUGGAUUUAUGCUACAUAUCUUAAGUGUUCUACCAUGGUAUAUGCAAGGAACCCCAAGCUUUCCAUUUGUAGUGUCUAUCACCUAUAUACAACUUUGGCAUAUUGUCAUCUACUGUUGUUAACCGUAACUAGAACAGCAUACAACCUUAAGUAGUUCAUAAAAGGCUUGUUGUAAUGACUAUGGUAAUAGGAUAAUACUAAUCAAGUGCAUAAGACAUUAUAUUGCACAAGGAUUAAGGAAUUGCUCGAUUUCGUACUGAACCAAGCUGCUCUUGGUGCAACUAGGGUUAGUACAGGCAAGAACCGCCUGAACCGCACUUGAAUCUUUCAAACCGAUCUAGAUCGAGCGGUUUGGGUGGAGAUCAAGGUCAGCUCAUCUAAACUAGCCUAGAACCACUUGUGAACCGAGUGGUAUGCCAAGAUACUACUCAGGAUGCUUUUCCUUUUUACCUUGUUUCUUGUUUUCCACCAUUUGAAAUGGAAACAAGGAGAAGAAUAAUGGUAACUGCGGAUACACUGAUUAUGAAGACUUGGAAACAGGCUUAAAUCUAUUGAAAUGCUUAGCUAGUUACACACCAUUUUGAAAUGAAAAAUCAAUUCAGAAACAUUUUCUUUCUUGCUUGAAUGAUAUAGUAGUAAUAAACAUAAGUUCUCUUGAAGACUAAAAAAUAUAGAAAUUAACUAAAUGACAAACAGUUAUGUAGAGAAAAUCUUCAAAUCUAUUCAAGUCUUCAAGAGAGACAGAGGAAGGGGGGGGGGGGGGGGGGAGAGAGCGAGACAGACCUUGAGUGCAUAAUUCAACGUCAUAGUGAAUGAGACUAUGGAAGAAUAAAAGAAAACAGAAGGGUUCACAUAUUCCAACAAUGAGUUCAACACAAGCAUGCAAAGAGAUAAAAACCCUUAAACAAGUGGUGUUAGCAGCUUAGUUCUAACUAUAAUUUCAGAACAAAAGAAUUUUUCAGAUAUGGAAACAAGGUGUCACUCCAAUUGUUGACUAAAGCACAGUACAACCAGUACCUCCCAUGAUUAGAGAAAAGCAAACUAUAACUAACAACAUUUUGUAUAUUCUUGUUAGUCAAGAAUCCCAAACUUUGUUGUUGGAUACUAUCAUCCUAGAGCCUUGUUUUAUCUUUUAUAAGCGAUUAUUGUAAUUUACCCUGUUUCUAUCAUUGUUUUCUUGUCAAAUGAUUAAUACUACUUGUAGACUUUUUUAAUGUACAUCGAUCCACUGGUUACUGUCAGUACAUCCCUUUUAUACUAGAUCGAUGAUUUUAGCACCCUAAUUGUUUUUCAAAAGCUAAUGUUAACAUUCAUAUGUUUUGCAUGCAGUUUAGAUUCCAUGUUACAUGAUUUAUAUGAUAAAUGUGUAUAUUGACUUUCAAUAUGCACAGAAAACAAUGCUGUACUAAAGGUGUUUGAGGUGCAUCUAAGCAUACCUAUCAAUAUGCUUUAUCAGCAUGAUCCUUGAUAUGGCAUGCGCCAUAUCCACCCUUGGUCAAUACGAACUUUGAUGGGGUAUUCAAACAUAGUUUGAACAUUAGAUGAUCAAAAUAUGCAUUUAAUUCUAGUGAUGUGCAAGACUGUGACUAUGGCUAUUAUGUCAACUAAAAGCUUGUUUUCUGACUGUGUUCUCUCUUUUGAUGGGAGCCUUCACAAGUCUUUCAUUCUGCUUGCUUAUACAAUCUCAAUUGCAUCCCCAAUACUCCAUGCUUAGUUGGUGCAACUCUUAUUGCUUCCCCUAAUGUAUUCAUUUCCAGCUAUACCCUAAUUUUAGAACAAACCACCUUAACUUUUUUAAUUCUUUCAUUUUAAAUUAUGUGUUUGCAACCUUUUUGAUCCAUAUAGUAUUAGGCCUUAGGCCUUUAUUUAUGCCACAAAUGUGUACAAAUAUCAAAUAAUUACUAGGAGUACUUCCCCAAUAAGUCCAUCCCUCUUCAGUUCUGUCAGACUUCUCUUUUGGCAUAUCCCUAUUUCUAUAUAACUGAUUAAAGAGAAAGUAUUUGCACUUGGAUAUCUCUUUCCCAUGUGUUCUAAUUGGGCUUCUCUCUCUCAGUCUUUGUUGAUUUACAAGGUGAAAAAGACUGAUUUUCUUAUGUUGAUAUCUAAGGGUCAUAAAUACUCAUAAUUCUUGAGUUUUAAAUUACAUCUGAUAGAAUAACCAAAAAAUAAAAUAGAAAUUUAUUCUUUCUUACAUUGGACAUGGUUGGUUAUAUUUCUCAAAACCCUCCUGAUUAGUGGUUAUGCUUUCAUGUUGUUAACUUAUUCUGCAAUACAUAUUAACAUUAGAAAAUAAUCCUUUUAUUUGUGAUAGGCAAAUGAAAAAUUGGGGAACAUCAGCUGGUAAGCAGAGGGAGCUUAGCAAAAUGUUGGAUGAAUGGUAAAUGCUAGUCAUUUUGUCCUUUUGUUCAAAUAAAUUUGCUGCCUAUAUAGUUUCAAUAUUUUCUUUAAUUUGUAUGAUAAGCUUCUUCAAAUAUGUACACAUUAGACUGUCUUUUUAAUGUGCAGGGCUGUCUAUAUUCGAAGAAAGUAUGGGAACAAACAGUUGUCAUCAUCAACAUAUCUUACUGAAGCUGAGCCUUUCCUUGAGCAAUAUGCUAGGCGUAGUCCACAGAACCAGGUGUUGGUAGGAUCUGCUGGUAACUUAGUUAGGGCUGAAAAUUUCUUGGCUAUAAUUGAGGGAGAUAGAGAUGAAGAGGGCGAUCUUCAUCCUGAGGGAGAUGUAGCACCUUUAACUCCAACUCCCACAGUUAAAGAUACAGUUCCCAAAGAUGAGGGUCUCAUUGUAUUCUUUCCAGGUAAAAUCCCUACAUCUGACACAAAACAUUCCAUCUCAAAUUUUUCUGUACAGUUUCAAGCAAUAUGUACAACUGCAAAAGGUAAGAAGUUAGUACAGUAUGCUAUUUUAUUAGUCAAAUCAAGACUACUAUUAUUUCGAUAUUCGUUAUUGGAAAAAAUACAAAAUGCAAAUAUUUUCUCUUUUAGGGACUAGGGACUCAGGGGGAUGGCUGAUCUGUUGGGGUGAUAAGCCAUAGAAUUAGCUUGCCACCUUUAUGUGCCUGAUGCAUUUAUAAUUAAUACUACUUAGCACCAGUUUUUUUUUUGUUGAAUGAAUGUGACAUUUAGCUGCUCUUAGUAUACAUUCAAGCAAAAAAUUGCUAUUUUGGUGAUUUCAAGAAUUAAUUGAGGUUUGGUAAUGCAAAAAGCCAGCUAGAUGGAAGUUAUAAUAUAGUGAAAGGCAAAGGCUGUACAAAGCAAAAGGGAUGGCUGAAAAAAUUUGAAUCUUGAAUGAUCAGUUAUUAGUGAGAGUACAUAAGACUAGUCUGAAAUAUGGAUGCUAAUAGGUAUAUGGACAUUACAGUAUGGGAGCCUAUAGAACUCUCAUAAAAGACAAGAAGAGGUGAUGGCUGUGAUGCAGAAAGCCAGACUUAAACUUUUUAACAUGAUUUUUUUUAAAGGGCUGCAGGGGGUAAAAUUAGAAUUAGGGAAUUAUGAUUAAUUCAAAGUUUUGUAAGUGGUACUGUUCAGGCUUAUUUUCUACUCCUUUUCCUUACAACUUAUUUUUUUAUUCCUAUUUUGAGUGUCUAUUUUUGUUUUAUAGAUGAAUUCUGUUUCAGAUCUGGUCCACAUCCCCCAAACUUUCUCUGCUGUAUCCUAAAUUCCCUCCAACCCCCAUGUGCCUGUUGAAUAUGUCACGAUGUUACUAAAUUUUAAUAGCUUUGGUUUGUCAUUGGAGCAAGGGAUUUGGCCAACUGUUGAAUUUUUCAAGUGAGAGACAUGUUUGACUGCAAUAGUGUUUGGAACUUGGAAGAUUGUUAUAAUUUCCCGUGCUUAACCUGAUGAGAUUACUGCUGUAUAUUAUGGUUCAGUGAAGCAUAGGUGGAUACAUUUCAAACAUAGGCCUCAUUAAUCGUUCCUCUUUUUUAUUUGAUUUUAGCUGUUUCAUGAAGUUUGAGAAUUAGAGCAAUGUCAUGCAUCUGAUUUAUAGCCUUGAGUUUCAUAUAGAGCCUACAGUAAAAUUGAGGUCCUCUGCUAAUAUUUAUUCCAGUCAUAAAAUAAAAGAGUUUUUUUUUUUCAAAAUGAGUAUGUCAGAUCUGAUAAUUUUUGUUUGUACAUCAACACUUGCUUGUUAGAUUUCUUGCUGUUAGUGUUGUCUAUGUUAUGCCUAACUGUAUAUCUAUUCAUUUCUCUCUCUUUGGCGAUUUACUUCUGAAAGAUUUCCUUUUAUUUUAUUGUGUAGAAUUGUAUUAGUUUCCUUUCAAAACUGUAAGUUUAUGAUUAGAGAUGUUUCAUUAUUAUAUUGUUAUUGCCCUCUGAUUUUUUUUCUCUCUUUUCAGGCAUACCAGGCUGUGCUAAGUCAGCUCUAUGCAAAGAAAUACUGAGCAUGCCAGGUGGCCUUGGGGACAACCGCCCUGUGCAUAGCCUGAUGGGUGAUCUUAUUAAAGGUCUGUUCUGUAUCCAUGGUACUCAUGAUUAUAGUAUAUGUUAUGUAUGUUGGUUAAUUGUUUUUUAUGAUUUCUUGUAAUGUAGUGUUAAGCAGUAAGAUAUCUGUUGUGCCUUCUUUUUUAGUGUUUUAUGUUUCACACUUUCACACAUUUACCUGCAUAUUCAGUGCCAUUCUCAAGUUGUAUGGUUUGGUGUCCCAGAUAGUUAUUAUUUAGCUCCUGCAUAUUCAGACCACCCUCUGCAUGUUUCAUCUGCACAAGCACACAAUGCAGAAGGGUGCUUACCCAAAAUUUGACAAAAUUUAAGUUGUGUUCUGUCAUGAUAUUCAUCACUGUAUUAAAUAUCUUUAAUUUUUCAUGAAUAUGUAUGGUCAAUGUUUUCCUAGUUUAUUGUGAUGUUAUAAAAUUUCAAUAUCUCGAUCUGGCAAAUUGGAAAGGGAAAAAUGCUUCAGAUUCCUAAAUUUCAAUGUCUAUUUAUGAGCUACAAAACAAAGACUUUUUUGAGAGUCACAAAGACAUGCAUCGGCUGCAUUUUUAUGAUAUUUAGGUGAGUUAGAUCAAAGAACAAACUGACUACACUGUUAUCUUGCUUCUGGUGUUUGGUGCCCAAUUGUAGAUGUCUGAAGGGUACAAACAUAAGCAUUUGGGAGAAACAGCUGUAAUGACAGGUUGGAUAACUUCCGGAAUAGUAUUCGAGGCUAAACUUCCAAAUUCAUCCCUAGAUCAUGUACCAUUUCCCAUUUAAAAAGUUGAUUUAUGGUACCCCAAUCCUCUUGGAACUGUUAUAAUUAGCCUCUCAAUUGCAUCCCACUUCUCUCUUCUUGGUUAAAUCAUCCAGUGUGUAUUGUCACAUGCAGUAGCGGCAAUUGAAACAUUGAAAUAAGUCAUCUAAGGAGCACAGAUCUAGCUUAAGUUAUGGAAAAUUCUCCAGUAGGAAAACCUUUACAGAUAAAAAAGCAUACUUUCUUUUUCAUUAGUAUUUACAUGGAGUUAUACAUUCUGGAGUUCUAUAUGAAGGUUUAAGUUUUACACUUGCGAGUAUGAACAAUAAAUAUUAUAAAAUUGUUAUAUCUUAAAGUCAUGCUGCAUUGUGUAGCAUUCUUUUAUAUGGUAUAGCAUGCUCUUUAGAUGAUUUGCUCUGUGUUGAGUAUCAACUCCUUAAAUUGAGUGCUUGUAUGCUUAACCAUGUUGUGGGUUUUUGGUAAUCCCAAAUAGAUUUUUGCAUCCCAAAUUGUAUGAGUAUCCAUAUUUAAGUAUUAUUCUACCAUUCCAAAUUUCUCUUUGAAUUUUCCUAGAUUGUUGAUACUUUCUUUUCAAGGUUUUAAGUACCAGUUUCAAUACCCGUACCAGCAGCCAACUGUUACAGGCUGUACUGAUUGCCAAUAUGGUAUAUCCCUUGGUAUUGGCACAGUGUGGGGAGCAUAACCAAGUACCAAGGGUGCAUCUACCUGUCUAGCACUAUAAAACCAGCUAUGGACCUGUACAGUCCAAUGCUUCUCACCAUCGUUCCAAACAUGUAACCUUUUUUCACUCUCCAGACUUGUAGGACUUCGAUUCUGUGAUUAUCUUGAGGUUGCUUUAGAUGUCAGGUCUACAUCACUGCUGUGCCCUAUGUGCCCAAGCAUUGUUUUGCAUUUCACAUGUCCUAGACAAUUACUAUCGAGCUCAAUUUUCUUCCAAGGCCCAAGUCUAGGCCCAGCUGUUGCCUUUCUGGGAAUAAGGGAUUGUAAGUUUACAAACAAAACCUAGCCUUAUUUUGCAUGGUAAACAUCAUGGCAGGCAUGGUCAAGCCAUUACAAUGGACUGGAUGGACAUAGCACAUGUGUAUAUAUCACCAUAACCAUAACUAUCAAGCUUCAUCCAACUAUCUAUGGUUUUCAUGAAUCUUUGUUCACCGAGCAUUCCUUUUUAGUGCUUCCUCGGACAUCAUCUCAAGUUUUUCCAUUUCCUUUUUCACAGUUUUUGUCCAUGUUACCCCAGGUCUUUCCCUCAUCUUUCUUAAUCCUUCAGCAAAUAUUGAAGCCCUCUUCUACAGCCCGCUUAGAUUUUCAUUGUACAUACUCAUACUAUCUCAUAAUUCUCGAUCACUUUGUUUGUCCUUAAUUUGUACAAUGCCUAUAUCUCCUCUAAAUUCUCAUUUUUCACUCUUCUUGCUCUAGUUUUACAAUUCAUCCAUCUCAACGUUCUUGUUGCUUCUAAAUCCAACUUGUUUUUUGGGCUUUUUUGGUGUGCAAUAUUUGAGCCAUCGAACAUUGUAAGCCUUAAUGUUAUCUUGUAAAAUUUUCCAAAGUCACCGAUGUACAUGUCAAUCACACAAUAUCCUAGAAGCAUUUCAUGCAACCAGCUCUAGUUCUAUUGCAUGUGUCCUCUCUCUCUCUCUCUCUAUACAUUGUUUUAUAUACCAUAUCCCAAACAACAAAUGUAUCACUAUAUGGUAUAUCUUAUCCAUCAUCCUUGACUAGCAUGCUAUUCUUUGUUUCUAUUUUCACUAGAAUUUCUUUAUAUAUAUAUAUAUGUGUGUGUGUAUAUAUAUAUAUAUAUUCUUUUUUUAGUUCUAUUGAUUUUUAAGCCUUUUCACUAAUGCUUUCUUCCAUAAAUUCAAUUUAGCAUUUAAUGGUGUUCUAUUCUCAUUAAUUAAUGCAUUACCAUCUGCAAAUAAUAUACACCAUGGUAUAUCUUCUCAAAGAAUUAGCAAUAAGUUCACCAAGUUAGCAUAAAAUUCACCAAUUUAGCAUAAAAGGAUGUAAUCCUAUUGCUAAUCUUUGGUUUAAGCCCAUUGUCACUAGAAAUACACUUGUACAUACAAUAAUACGUAUAAAUAUACACAUAUGCACAUGCACACAGAGAUGUGUGUGCAUAUGUAUGCAUUCAUUCAUCAUUUACCCUUCUAGAUACUUACUAAGUGAUGAAUUAAAAAGGCCAACGGUUUUUUUUGAAACCCAUAUCCUUUGUUUGAUUUGUAAAGUGCUUUCCCCACUAGGUGUGAUAUUUUUAUCUCUAGUUAUCCAAAGUGAAUCUUUGCAGGAAAGUACUGGCAAAAGGUUGCUGAUGAGCGCAGGAAGAAACCAUAUGCCAUAACCCUAGCUGACAAAAAUGCUCCAAAUGAAGAAGUGUGGAGACAAGUAAUGUCCUAUCUCCUGUUUUAAAUAAAUGCUUAUUUCUUUCUCUUUAUAAACUGUGGUGUCAUAUGUUCCUUUAUAAUGUUGAGUAGGAACUGAUGGAUAUUUUUCAUAUUCCAGAUUGAGGGCAUGUGUCGGAGCACAAAAGCCUCUGCUGUUCCUGUCGUUCCAGAAUCUGAAGGUUCUCUUAUUAUUAUUUAACAAUUGCAAUUAAGUUUGGCCAAUCUGUUCAUUUAUACCUUUUGUUUGAUUUCCUUAAGUUCUUCUUUUAAGGUGGCCUGUGGUAUUUCAGGCUUUGAAAUUUUAUAUUCAACUCUGCAGCUGAUGUUCAAAUAUAAAAACACUUCUUUACUGUUGAAGACAAGAAUCAUAUCUUUUUCAUUUCUUUUUUAACCUCCUGUCAUUAGAUCUUACGUGCAGGUUUAUUUUCCUAUUUUCGUGAAGUUAUUCAGUAUUGUCUUGUGGAAUAUCAAAACCUCUUUAUGUUGCCAUACAUUUUUUUCAUCUUAUGCUUCUUUACUGUUGUCAGUAACAGUGAGAUCCUUAUUUUAAAAAAUCAAGGAUCAUAAUUUUAUAAUGGUUGUGAAAUCUGAGUUUGAUGGAUUCGGUAACAAUAUUCUGAAAUUGAAUCAUUUUUUUUUUGCUUGAGGAUUGUAAUUAAUCAAGAUAUUAUAAGAAGAUUGAUAUGCACUGACGUUGUCAAAUCUGAUUGUAUAUGACUAGAAUUAAUGACAACCAAUGUUCCUGUAUAUUUAUAUACCGCAUGAAUACAAUAGACACCCAAACAUGUUAUAUACUUUAAUCAAUAAGCCUCGUCUAAGCUAGCUAGAGUUGGUUCCGCGAAUUUAAAAGGGAACCUUCCUGUUCUAAGGUUGUUUUAUAAUUAGCUUUUAAUCAGACAAAUAACCCAUUGAAUCAGUCUUAGCUUUCUCGGCAAGGCAACUUUGAGCAAGGGAGGAAGCUGUCACAAAACCCAAAGUUGGCAGGUAUGAAAUCAACCGUAUAUUGUAGUUUAAUAAGCUUAUGUGAAUAGUAAACAGCCCUCGAAGCUUGCCUUGCUAUUGGAAGGACUCUAGAUGUAAAUGGAAUAAUGCAAAGCUUUAUAUGGGGAGCUGCAUUUUUCCUGAAGGCAUAUAAUAUAAACAAGCGAGCCACUUUAAAACAGAAUGCCUGUUAUGCAUACUCAAAUACAUGUACUCAUGUAAUUAUACAUAUGUACCUUUUAUGGUUUAUGUUUUCUGAGUUGUGUUUCAAGAGGAUCAUCUAUAACUUGUGUAGAAGUCUCGCAGGAGUGAUUGUCUUUGUCCUUCACAGAAUUUUGUUUUCUUUAUAAAAUCAAAUAUUGUAACAACAGAGAUCCCAUGCUACAGCUGAUGUUUUCCAGUCCAAAUGUAUUUCCUCCAUGGCAUUCAGUAGAAUAAAUUCAUUUGCCAAAUAUUAACUAGAAAUAGCUAAUAACUUUCCCAAGGUAGGUACUAUUGUAUGCUAAAUACUUCAAUACAAUCAUGUAUAGGGAACAUUGUUUGGAAUUAUGACUUGUGUGAAUGUGCAGGAACUGAUUCAAAUCCGUUUUCUCUUGAUGCGCUGGCUGUUUUUAUAUUGCGUGUUCUUCAACGAGUAAAUCAUCCGGUAUUUGCAAACUCUGCUAAUCUCAUGAAUGUAAUUGACCAGAAUUAUCUGUUGACUUUUGCCACUCGGCUAUCUUAUGCUUGUUUUUGCUGUAUUUGUAAAAGGGAAAUCUUGAUAAGGCAUCUCCAAAUGCUGGUUAUGUUCUGCUAAUGUUUUACCACCUCUAUGAUGGCAAGGCAUGUAGUCGCUAUUCGUACCCUCCAAUGGUGGGAAUACAUGUCGAAAUAAAUUCUCAUUUAAUCUUAUCCUAAUUGUUUUGGCCAUGCUUCUCCAGAAUCGCAGAGAAUUUGAGAGUGAAUUAUAUGAACGUUUUGGCUCUUUGGUCAAGAUGCCUUUGCUCAAGCCUGAUAGGUAAAGCAACGCCUUCUGUUUUUCAUGUUCUGCCAUUUCAGUUUUUUAAGGCAUUUGCACUAAUGGACCCACUGUAAAUUUCACCUAUGUUUUCUCAAAGUCUGUGAAGUGGUAUUAUAUUGUCAAUGACUAUCUGCAAGGAUAUUAGAUGCGUCCAAUGAAUUAUUGAAGCAUAUCUAUAAGUAUUUGGCAUACAAUAUGCACCUUGGACUGCAGAGUGGGAUGAGUUGGUUUGGAAUCUUGAUCCAUGCUACAGUAUAUCACAGAAGUCCUGUUCAGUGUCAACCCACGUCAGCAGCUAACUUGUUUAUGUCAGCAACUAACUUGUUUGAAAGUGUCCAUUGACAAAAGUAAUUUGUUGGCACAGAUUGAUUCUACUCUCUUGAAUAGCUGUCUAGUAGGUCAGGUCUGGGUCCAGUCCAUUUUUGCAACCAAUCCAGUUUCUAAGAUGGGUCUGAUCCUGAACCUGCAUCUUUCCAAAUGUUCCAAGGUCUGGUACAGGUUUAUUCUUUUUUUAAGGUCCAAUCCAGACAAACCUCUUCCAUCUAUAAUCAUGUGCAGUGAAAGGCUAGCCAGAAAAAGAAUGCAGAUUUAAAUCUACCUUUUCUGGGUGAAAUUUUUUUAUAAUUUAAAUAAAUUUGUUUUCUGGGUGUUAAUUCUGUUUUGCAUCUCUAACUUAUGCUACUAUGUUUAAUUGAUUAUACAUUCUAUUGACUAAUGACUUGUUCUCUAGUGACUUUUGUAAUGGGUAUCUCAAAGGGCCUCUCAAUAUUAUGCGAAUUCUAUAUUGGAUCAUAUGUUAGUUUUCCUCUUGUUUGAUAUCUAGUACCUUAAAUUCUCAUGCCAUGCAUCUUCAAGGGCAAAGAAUUGCAUUUGCUGGUCCCUUCCUAAUUGCUGGUACAUGUACAAUCUUGGAGCACACAUUGCAUGCAAUAGGUUUUCAAUCCCAAAUCCCAUUCCAUGAAAAAAUAGUUGCUCUGUGGAUAUCCCUUUGCAACCCAAAUUCAAUCCCUAGUCAUCUUUUUACUGUGCCUAUACAAGUUCUUGUGAUUGGAAAUCACUUUUAAGUGCUAAGUUUUAGCUAACAAAAAUAGCUAACAAAAAAUCUUUCACUUCAUGGUGUCAACUUUCGAUGAAAUUUGCUAUUAGGUUCACUUGCUAUCCUUUUCUGUGCUCUCCCUCUGUUAGUGGCUUGUUUGGAUGAAUGGCUCUAAUCCCUGGUAUCGCACACAUGGUGGGAAGCAAUGAGAAGUGGGAACAAAUAGAGAGAGAGAUACCAACUUCGGGAGCCAUCAGGUUUUGCAAUCUAUAAGAUUGUUAGAUACCAGAAAACACCUUAAAAAGUUUUCAAGAAUCCCUAAAAUUUUGGUAUCACUGAAUUCUCUCCCUUCUUGCUCACUCCUCUCAUCGGCCUCUUCUUCUCAGUCCUUCCUGCAUGUGUGGUGGUUACAUCACAGAUUGGGAACCAAUUAUCUAAACUUCAGAUAUGCAUCUGUCUUCACUGUUUUUUUACUUGUAAGCUGUAUAUUCUUACCGACUUGUUUAUUCCCUUCAUAUGACUUGAUUAUUUACAUCUAACUUUCUUCAUUUCCAUGGAUAUAUUGAUGUUUAAUGACAAUUUUUUUAAGAUAUAAAGGAAUGCUAAUGCACAACAAUAUUUUUACUUAUCUACUAAAGUGGCAUCACUCCUACAAUAUUUCCUAUUAAUAUUUACCAUGUUGUGUUUUUCUGUUCUUUAUAGAAAUCCACUACCUGAUCCUGUGAAGUCUAUACUGGAGGAAGGCAUAAGUCUUUUCAAACUUCACACUAGCAAGCAUGGAAGGUAUUUUCCAGUCUUAAGAAGUCUUACAGAAGAAUGCGCUGGUCUUUAUAUAGCAUCCAGUAAUAUCCUUGCAUGCAAAGUAACAUCCAGAUUAUUUUGCACAUCUUUUUCUAUACUUAUCAUUCCAUGGCUGAUAUAUUUAUUUGCUGAAGUAUAUGAACAUAGAAUAAGUUUUACUAUCCUUACAUUUCCAGCAACAGAGGUACCAAAGUUCGCUGUCUCGGUACCGAAUUCCGUACCGGUGCCACACUGGCACAGUGUCGGUAUGGUACGGUAUGAAGUUUUUUUUUGCGUACCGAGUGUCAGUACGCCACUCGUAUCGGGUACCAGUACCGAACCGAUAUGGUACAGUACAUCCGGUACUAUCCGGUUUGGGCCGGUACGAUAUACCAUGAGAGGUACCAUAUCUUAUCCUGUUGAUAUGCGGUAAGCCAUGAACACAAGUCCAGGAGGGAACAAGCAAGAUUUUACAAUUGGCUUUUAGCUAAAUGAUUUAACAUGAACUGCUUAUGUUCAAUUGUAGAUUUGUAUGUUUUUGUUCUAUGCAUGAACUUAUGACAAUCAUCAUAUGCAUUUCCUUAAAUAGCACAUUUUCUAUGUCGCUACUUCAUAGUUCGUACACUCCUGCAUGUUCUGUGUGAACUGUGAAGGGGAACCAACAUGCCCAACUCAUCACAUGACCAAUGCAUUGUAUUUUUUCUCUAAUAUUUGCAUGUAUGGUCAUCCUUUGUGUUCAAUAUACUAAAUAAAGUAAAUAUAGUAUUGUUUGUGUUACUAAAAAAAUAAUCAGAAGAAACAUCUAUCAUUUAUAAUGCCAAAGUGUAACACAGAUAACCUACAAAAGAAACAUGCUUUAUAGGUGCAAGCAGUCCAUCUAACUACAAACCCAUGUGGAUCUAUGUCUCUGUCAUGUCUUCUAACACUGCUUUUUGCAUUUCUCAAAAUAUUUUAUGCUUUAUUAAGCUAAAUUAUAAACCAGUGGUCGGUGGUAUCAAAAGACAUAAGCAUGCAUUUGAAAUGUAGUUUGUAUGAUUUGGGAUUCCUUUACAGAACCAUGAUUCAUCAUUUGAAAGAAACUCAAAAGGACCUAGCAAUAUGCUUGCCCAUGAAGGUGUAAAUCCUUUUCCACCAUGGCUAGUAGCUAGAGGAAAAAUCCUAGUAACAAUGACUAAAGGCCGUGAAAACUUAAUGCAUCAGCUGAUGAUAUUAUCAACAUAUGAAAGGAAAACUAUAACUUAAUGAGUGUCAUAUCAAAUAAACAUGGAAGAAUUGGCUUUAGUAAAAUUAUAUCCAUGUUGAGCAAAGUCUGAGCUCAUUGUUUGAGACCAUAAAUUUUGCAUGAAGCUUUUGAAUAUGACAUGGCGUAGAACUCUAUAAGAUUCAUAUAAAAUCUGGUGAAAGACACAAGGACCUUGGAUGACGAAUGUUAAGAAACACACUAAUGAAAUCUUGUCCAAUUACCCUAUUGAGAGCAGAAAAAAAGAGAAGCAUGUAGGGAGUAAAUUUGUUGUCAAAAUCAAUCCCAGGAUGUUAGUAGACAGAAUAUGAGCAUUGUAACAGGCAUUGACCAUGUUAAAUUUUUUAAUUUACAGAACCAUUUUUAGCCUAUGACAUGCAAGUAAAAGUGUAUAUAGAACUAAAGUCUGAGAGAUUGUUUCAUACACGUGAGUCGUUUGUUCUUCUGUAGGAUUUCUUUUUACUGUUGAAUCUGUAACAGACUUGAGGAAAGAUCGAGCAUUGUGCUUGAUAAGAAACCGAUGGAAGAUGGGACUAUUUUUAGGUUGAGGGUUCAAGUGCAGGAGAAUGGUUAUGAAAGGUGUUUAGAUUGUCGAGAUUGUUGAGGGAGCAUAGCUUUGAGUUGAUUCUAGUCAUAUUUUGAUCAAUGCAUCUGAGGACAAUGAAUGGAUGCAUGACAGAGAAGAAGGAGAGGGAGUUGAUGGUCAUCCAACCUGAUCUUUUCAAGGUAGUGGGAGGCCCGUAUGAUAGGAAAGAGGAGGAGGUGCCAGGUGUGUGUGUGUGUGUGUGUGUGUGUGUGUGUGUGUGUGUGAGAGAGAGAGAGAGAGAGGAGAGGGGUGGGGUGGUUGAUAGAUUGAGGAGAGCAUGAUCCUUGAGAGUAUCGUCCUGAUUGCCCAUCCAUAUCUUCUUGAUCAUUCACCACUUCAGCUCAGGCUUUUUGGAAAUAUUUGGAGGACCUAAUUCCAUUGGUCAAACCUGUUUGAAAGCAAUAGAAAGGAAUUUCGACUUGAUGAUCCUUUAUUCUGCUUUGAAUUCCAACCUAACCCUCUUUUUAAUGGAUAAUACAACCAAGUCGUGUAGUUUAAUAUAGCGGAUGAUAGGUCCUAAAUGGACCCCCAAACUAUAGUAACUAUGUUGAUCUUCACAGGCUACCUAUUAUAUCCCCAAAUGUUUUCAAUUGAACUUGCUCCCAUCACAUCACAUUGCAACCAAAACAUCUGUGCGUGGCCUGCCUCUAUUCCAUCCCAUCUCAUUACUUCCCUUCUUUCAGCAGACAGAGUGCGCCCCACCACCUCCCCUCUUCCAUGCCACCAAAUAGGGUUCAGUAUAAAGCUUGCUGAUCAGCCCUCUCUCCCUCUUGCAAUCUCCUCUUUGUUUUGACUACAUGAGGGAAAACAAUGAUGGCAAGAGUCCAGAACAAGCUUCCCCUCUAUACACCCUUCUACUUCACCCAUAUAAAAUGUAUUAUAAUACUUUUAAAAAAAACAGAGAACAAACUAUUUCCUUGUUUCAGAAGCUAGAAAGAAGUAUACUGAAGAAAAACAAAAUCUGAAUAUGGAUUGCGAGGUUAACAAGAAAAUAAAGAUUUAAUUCUGUUAGUAGGUAAUAUACUGAUCAGUAUACAAAAAUAUCUGUUGAGAGAAAAGCACCAUUCAAAUCCCAGUCCCUUCUUCAUACCAAUAACUUUUCCUUUCAUAUUUCCGGAGUCCACAACCAUUUCUGUUUGAGUUCAAGAUCUCACCCAUUUAUUCCAACCAAAAGAAACAUUGCAAUAGAACAUAACCCAGACAAGGGGGUUAUGUUUUCAAGUGUUUGAAUUUAGAUCUUUAAUAAUUUUAUUCCUUGGUGAGGAAGGAAAGAUUGCAUUUUAUUUCUGUUCACAUGGUAUGUUCCUUUUGCGUGGUGGACCAGGUCUUGUUCUUGCACUUUUGGAUUCAAGUAGAUGAGAAGAUGAUAAAUGGAAGCAAGGGAAAUGUUAAAGAAAGGAGAUAUUGAAAGAGGGAAACAUGCAGAAGUGAAUUUGUGACUGUAAAAGUGGGCAAAACGUCUCAUUAAAUUUACGGUUGGAAGACGGAUGUUGAUGGGUCAUGGGGGAAGAUGGAAUGUCCUUAUUAUGGGGUCAACAUGUCACACCCCCUUAGACGGCACGUAGGAUGGAAGCUGGUGAGGUGCACUACUAGUUGGCUUCCCUGAGGACAGGAGGUGGUGGGACGGGCAGUAAGAAGGACACAGAUAGACUUUAGUUGCUGAUGUAUGUCUCUUUGCAACUUGAGGAAGGAAGGGGUAUGCUAGGUAUUAAAAUAUGAAAGUUAAUGGAGUUUUAUUUUGAGCAGGUAUUCAGGCGUGUCUGCCCGCUGCACAAGAACUAUAGUGGCUGGAUAUAUUAUUCAACAUAAAAAGAGCCUAAUUUGGUAUUCGAAGCAGAAUGGAGGACAAUCUUUUUAAAAUCCUAAACUAUUAGAAUAUAGAGACUGUGUAAAAAUUUUAGGGAAUAGCUGGGAGUCACAAAAACUUUAGAUCUUUACCAGUUCCCAUCAAAUUUUAGUAAAACACUCAGGAAGGGUUCCUGCAGAGAUAAUGUGAUAUAGAUCUCUUCGUUCUUUCUCAUCUAUGCUAUUUUGCGAUUAUCGUUCUUAUCGUCAUUUAAUUUGCAGAACCUAAGAGGCAUUACAUAUUUUUCCUUAUUAGCUUCUUUCCUCUAAAUUUCUCCUGUUUAAUAUGUCCUAAUUCACUUUUCAAUUAUGCAUCAAACAUGAAGACAAUGAUAGUUGGCUUGGUUAAGAGUCAGUGAGGAACUUGUUAUCAUGGCAAAAUAUUUCUCCUAGUUUGCCAUUGGUGGCAAUAUUGAUGCAAAUCCUUUACUAAUUACUACCUAAUUUUGCCUUUCAUUUUAGCUCAUCAUGCAGAACAGGUAUAAUGUAAGCUGUAUUUGGCAGAUUCUAAGAACUAUUAGUUUGACACUUCCUAUUAGGUCCUUGGCUUGAUGCUUCUGUGAUCAUUUUCCAUCCUCAGUAGUUUCACUCGACAAGACAAUAUUGUCCCUAAGAAAUUUUAGCCACACUUUAGACAAAAACAUCAUUGUGAAUUUUCCUUUUACUGAUAAAGGAAAAAAAUGUUAAUUCAAAGGAUUGUUGAAUUUGCCAUAUUUUGCAGUUGAUUUUUUUAUAAAAAAAUUUUAAUUUCUUGUUCAUUGUCUAUAGUUAUAUUGACAUGUAAUGCAGCAAUUCAUAUCUCUGUAUCUGCAACCUAGUUGCUAUUGAAUAUAGAUCUAUUUGUUAUAGUAUGGUUUGACAUAGAUUUUUAAAUGCAUUUCCUUAGUUAAUAUUUGUCAUAUUUCACUUAUUAAAUAUCAACUAACAAAACAAUGGCAACAUAGACUGGAACCUGUGAAAGGCUCAUAUGCGAAAGAAUGGGCUCGAUGGGAAAAAAGAUUGCGGGAAGUUAUGUUUGGAAAUGCCGAUUACCUCAAUUCUAUUCAGGUAGGUGACUAUUCCUCACCUUAUCCCUUCAAUAGAUUUUUUGAUCUAAGAUUUAAGCUAAUGAUCGAAUUUCAUGUCCCUCGUAUUGUUUAUGAUUCCAAGGAAAAGAUCAGUAUCAUAUUAAAUCCAUACAAAGCUGGUGGACAAUGAAAAUUGAUGCAUGUAAUAACUACUCAAAUCUGUUUUUUCUGACUUUGCGGACUCAAACUAAAGAUUAUCUUUUACUCUCUUUUUUCUUUUUUCUGUUUCCUGUUUUGCUACUAUUUAAAUACGUAAUGAGAUCUCAAGAUCUACACCCAUCUUAUUGUUAUAAAGCAAUUCUGAUAUAGAACAUUUGUAAGGGCUUCUCUUCUUGUAGGGAUCAAACUAUUUGGCAGUGAGGUGGGCUCAUGGGCAUCAGACAAGUUCUGCAGGAUGGGAAGUAUGCGCAGAUGGAUAUGUCCUAGAGCUAAGAGAAUUGCAGUAGAAAUGAGUAAUUCACGGGACAGAGCGGUGGUUAAAGAAAAUAAUUCAUGACAAAUUGGGUAGCUGGAGUGUCCAGUAGAAGCAGAACAACUAAGUGUAGGACCCCUCGUAUGAGCUGACUGAACAAGGAUGGGAAAAACCAUUGGAUACAGAUAUUGAGAAAUAGCUUGAAGCUACUUUUUUAUUUCAGAGGAGUUGGUCUGAAAUAUUGAUGAUUUAAGAUCUGUGUAACCAACAUUGAAGUUUGACCUCUCAUAUUUUAUUACCUUUUUGGGAGGUCAGUUCCUUUUUACUCUUUUUUUUUUGCACGGGAGGAGGNNNNNNNNNNNNNNNNNNNNNNNNNNNNNNNNNNNNNNNNNNNNNNNNNNNNNNNNNNCUAUUGUACAUAGCCUAACUUUGUAACUGGAAAUGAACGUGUUUUGUAGGUCGUAAAAAAAAAGGAUUUAAAAAAAAACCUUCUGAUUGUAAAAGCCUAAACUCAAUAAUUAUAUUGUCAAUUUCAUGUAUGUCCUAGAUAAACCAUUUUUUUGCUUAUAACACAUUUUGUAUUCCAGGUUCCUUUUGACUUGGCUGUGAAACAAGUCCUAGAGCAGCUGAAAGAUGUCGCAAAGGGUGAGUAUAAAACACCAGAUACGGAAAAGAGGAAGUUUGGCAACAUUGUCUUUGCUGCUGUCACGUUGCCAGUGACAGAGAUUACGAGCAUGUUGGAUAAGGUAAUGCUGCAUUUUAUAUGCUUCAAUUAUGUUGAUCUGAGCUCAAGUCCCCCAAAACUAAUUGCCGGAGCCAGUUUUUUAGUUUCACUCACAUUUGUGUUCGAUCUCUUGUUAAUGGCAUGAAGAUUCUGGUAGAAGUCAUUACUACCUAUAGUCAGUGCAUUCAAGUGCCGGAUGGCAUGGCCCAGCAUGCAUGAGAUGCACCAUGUUAGUGCCUUAUCAGCACAUGGCACAAUACCAGCUGCGUGCUAGCGCAUCAUAUGCACUGCACAGCUCGGCAUGGCACAGUAGGUAUUGUGCCAAGUGGUGGACCAGCACACCACCAGUGCAUGAUACUUAAACUCCGCUUUUACUUUUUGUUAAUAUGUAGUUUGGUCAUCGACGUGUACGUAAUCUCUAAUGUGUUGUUUUGAUCGUGACAGAUAGCCAAGAAGGAUCCCAAGGCGAAGGCUUUCCUUGAAGAUAAGAAUAUGGAGAACAACCUCAGGAAGGCUCAUGUAACCCUAGCUCACAAAAGAAGUCAUGGUGUCACAGCUGUUGCUAGUUAUGGUGUCUUCGUCCGACAAAAUGUCCCUGUUGAUUUCACUGCGUUACUAUUCUCUGACAAAUUGGCUGCUCUAGAAGCACGACUAGGGUCAAUUAAUGGCGAAAUGAUAGACUCUAAAAACGAGUGGCCCCAUGCUACUCUUUGGACUGCACCAGGUAUACCACCAAGGGAAGCCAACACAUUGCCGCAUUUGGUCUCUGAAGGUAAAGCAACAAGGAUAGACAUCGAACCACCGGUGACUGUAUCAGGAGUUAUGGAUUUUUAUUGAGUUGCUACCACACUGUGCCAGCAUCGCGGAGUGACACUAGAAGUUUUGCUUGAAAAAUGAGGUGAUAGAGUGGCUUCCCUUGACCUCGGAGUAAAAUAUUGUAAAAGUGAGUUUAGAAUUUGAGGAAUUUUGUAGGGAAUCAGAAAUGCGCCUUUGCAUAUCAUUCCCCACUAUUAUGUGUGCGGUCCUUCCCGGAAAAGGGCUGGCGGGCGUCUCCUUUCUUUUUUCCCAGCAUUGUAUGCCUCAUCAAUUGAAUUUUUCUUCUGUUCUCAACAUGAUGCAUAUGUGAAGAAAUCAUUAGUUAUUAAUCGAUUGGCAACCAGAUGUGAGCGCAUGUGAAUUACCAAACUCAAGCAAGCUGUUAAAGAAUUUGUUAGAUGAAUGAGUUACUCGUUUAGAUCUGUCGGGAUGAGGUUGGGUUUAAGCAACGAUGUGAAACUGAUAAAAUUCAACCCAUGAUUUUGGUGCUGCUUAUGUUUCAUUUAGAAAAGAGAGCGUACUCCUAAUGCAAGGGUAUGCACUCACAAGCCAGUGCAAGGUCUUAUGAGCCUGUUUGCAGGGUGGGGUCCUUGGUACCAAGCCCCAAAGGCUCGUGUUACAUCAAUCAAAGUUAAUGUAUCUAAUAACCAAAAUCUAAUUUAAUCAAUUAGAAAUCUUAUGUACAUAAUAUAAUUAAAUAACCAUAAUCUUAACCAGAGAUCUUACGUAUAUAUAAGCUCAAAGGCUGGUGUCGUAAGUUAGAAACUGGGUGAUGAUCAAUCAAAUUCAAUUUAUCUAAUAAACCUUUUUCAAAAAAUUAAUUAUAAAUUGAAUCUAUCAGCCAGUGUGCAUGUGCGUCCGAGGAAACACAGCAAGAUAGAUAUUUCCACGCAUGCCUAUAUAAUUACCACGUUUCAAAAACAAAUAUCUCAGUUCAUCUUUGUACACAGAAAAAUGUAUACCCUUUUUAUUUUUGCUAAGCCAGAGCUAGUUGCAUGGAAAUGAUGUCAUACUAAUUUUUUUAACUGCUCUGAAACAUCAGAUAACAGUCUCUGUUUUCGCUCCAUAACAUAACACGUACAUAGAUGUCAAGAAAAGAUCGUACGUGCAAGCAUGCCCUGAUGCAUGCAUCUACAAAGACUGCUAAUAAAGAUGCUGAAAUAUCCUCACGCUGGCAGCACAUGUUAACACUAAUGAACCAUGAAUGAAGAAUUUCAUACUGAUCAUAAACAUAAACAAACAAAAAUAUGCCAUAAAUCCCUAACAUAACCACCUAACAUCUGUACAUUGGUCCAGGGAAGUAUGAAACUCUAUUUAGGGGGAGAAGUCAGUUUAUUAUGCUCCGGCUCAUGCUUUAAUGUUGAAUCCCCACCCAUCAAUUCAUUGAAGGCUUCUACUUUUACUGGUGGUGUUCUCAUGUUAUAAGCAUUCCUGCAUCAAUUGAAGACAUUUGAUGCUCUAUUAGACAUUCGAAAGACCAAAGGCAAAAUACUUUAUAUAUCUCAUAAACAGAUUCCAUACUGUGCUUGAAGCUGAGGAAUUUGGACAGACGGUAGUUGUUUGAACUGCUGGCCUGAUUGAAGAAGGUGAUUAGCCAUCGCCUGCUGGUGUCUUAACUGCAGUUGAUGUUUAUUGAGUGUGCUGAAUGGGUUGUCUAUUGACGAUUCCAACAUGUUUUCAAUCUUGACAUCUACCAUUGGCUGAUCUUUGUCCAUAAUCAUUACAGAACCACGAGGAGUGGAUAUUUGGCGUUGGCGUAAUCUAUCCCAUUGCUGCUGCUGCUGCUGCUGAAAUAUCUGGGGGUGAAGCAUAUUCAUUUGGGGAUGCAAUUGUCUUUGGAUCUGCUGGUCAUGUAUCAUUUAAGACAUUAGUUUUGACAUAUUACCAUGCAAAAUAAUGAACAAUCAUCACAUAGAUUACAUUAAGAAAAAUAAAAAUAAGCAUUCAUAGAAUAAAGUCGAUCACUUUAAUCCAUAUGGAUUAUUAGUUCAAAAAACCUUAUGUAAACGAUGUUUUGCUCGGAUGGAGUUAGAUUUGAGUAUCAAUAUGUUCUCCGAACUGAACAAAUGAGAUCACUUGGUGCAAAAUAAAAAAAUAUAGAUAUGAGAUUUUUGCCUACAACAGCAAUUGAAUACUUGAAUUCUUUAGCUUUUGGUUUAGAAACUCACCAUGCCUACUAAAGAUUUUGAUGAGCCAGAUCAAUUAAGUAGCAAGUAAAGAAUGAUUACAUUAAGAAUUGAAUAUUUCAAUUCUCUAGUGCAGCUUCAAGAGCAUAAUUGUCAGGUCCGGUCACCUAGGCUCCUUCAUUACUGCCUGGGAAACAAAUAAGCCAGUGAAUGCCCAGGUGAGCCUCACUUGGACCAUCGUUCCUAUAUACAUACAUAUACACAAAGAUUCGUAUGUGCAUACAUAUAUAAAUGUAACUAUAUGUACAUUAUAUACAUACAUACAAAUGUGUACUACAUAUAAAUGUAUAUCUUCAAAAGAUAACAAUAGUUUGUAUAUAUAAACAUAGGUACAAACACAUAAAGGCACACUUAAUAUACACGUAGUCCUUACCUUCGACGGUAACCCUGCCGUCUCUUUUCCGGCAGUCCCUUUUUCACGCGAGCAGAAAAUAUGUAACUACAAUUCAUACAUGUAUGUAUCUACAUAUUUAUACAAACAUAUAUACACUAUAAAAUAUUUUCUUGCAAUUUUUCCUUGUAUGACACAUAUAUGCUAAUGAGUGAGAAACUUUUAGACUAAACCUUAAGAGCCUGUUUGGAAAAUCCAACAGGAUUGGGCUGGAUUUCCUAUUGGAUUUAUGAAGCGGGCAGUCUAUUUGGAUAGGGCCCAUACAAACACACCACCCUCGGCCCAAAUCCUGUGGGAGGUAAAAAAAAGACCUCCAUGGGUCAUUUUUUUCUUCUUGCAAUCUAACAGACCCACUGAUGGAAUUUAGACUAAAAUUAGGAUAGGCCUUUAGAAGAAUAUGGGCUAGAAAUGCCAACAGACCUGAUUCCUAUAGGAAAUCCGUUAAAAAAAUAAACUUAAGUUUAAGAGUUAAACAACUAACUACAAAAAGAGCUUUCAUUCAACAAUCACAACCUGAGUUCUAUAUCUAGCAAGAUAGACAACUAAGGAAACUCGAUGGAUUCCAACUAGGCUAAAACACCAAUAAUAUAUGCUAUUACAUCUCUUACAUUUAUUAUAAAUUUAGUUAAAGUAUAACAAAUUAUAAUAUAACUUGAAGACUUAAUUAUUCUAUUAUAAAAUUUAGUAAAAAUAAUAACAAAUCAUAAUAUAACUUGAAGGGGACUUAAUCAUUUAUGUUCACAACAUACACCUCAAAAUACAUUAAAAUGUUAACUUAUUGAAACAGUUCAAAAAUCUAAUGGUGAAAAUGAAGUACUUGAAUCAAAGAAUAAUUUGAGUGAAUUUGUAACAAGUCCGUCGCCUAGGCUAUGGUUUAGAAACUGAAUAGACCUACUUGAGAUUUUAAUGAGCCAGAACAGGUGAAUUGCGAGUAAAUAAAUGAUAAGAUGCUGAGAACGCCCCAAAAAUUUCUCUGCCAAAAGCAUAUAACCAACAAAGAAUUCUCUAUAUUAAUGCCUAUGCCAUCUCUAAAGCACUACAAAGAUUAGUCUUGCUCUUCCAUCUUCCCCAUCUCUAAAGCACUACAGAGAUACCUCUUGCACUUUCAUCUUCACUAUGCCUCCUUCCAUUUGCCUCUCCAAGUCCCUACAUCAAAGGUUGUUAUAUUUGCUUUCCAGGAACGUUUUAAUCUUGGUCGAUCGCUAUGUGUAUCAAUAUCAGCCUUUUGCCAAUAUGAUAUAAAGAAAAUCUCGGCCUGGAUUAUCUCAGUCACUAUAAACUGAUAUAUCCUGGGAUAUCAGCCAAUACGAUAUUGAUGUAUCAGCCGAUAUUUUCCAAUCACUUCUUCACUUCCUCGAUUGAAUUUUUUUUAGUUAAUAAAUCUCAAAAUCGAUGUCUAAAAUAGUUAUAAUUCUUGGAUUUACUAUAUCAGACAAGAUUUCAACAUCUUGGUUUUCAUACAUCAGCUGGGAUCUCAGAAAGUUUCGACUUUUCCAAAGUUUUGAACCUUCCAAUAUUGGCGAAGAUAAUCCGAGAUCUCAGUUCAUCUUGGAUGUCAGUCACCCACUGAGAUGACCAAUGUCUCAGCUUUUAAAGAUCUUGUUCCAUUGGUAAGGAGUAAGGUGAAAAGUUUCAGCCAAAAUUGAUAAGUUUCAGCCGAGACCAAUUAGGUCUCGCACAAUUUCGGCUAGUUUUGGCAGGUUUCAACCAAUUUUGGCAGUUUCAGCUGAAACUAACCAAAAAUAUUUUUUAUGCUUAGUGUCCUGUUUGAUUUGAAUUUCUUUACAAGUUUCUUUACUAUUUAAAGCAUUAUGUGUUAAUAUGAUUCUUCUCUCUUAGCUUGGAUUUUUUUCUUUUUUCUUAGAAUUAAUGAAACAUUAAGAUACAGUAAACAGGGGCAGAGCCAGGGGGUUAGGGAUAAAAACACAUAAUCAAAAAUGAGAAAACUUUAGUUACAUGAUGGGAAAAUGUAAAUAUAAUUUUUUCUAAGAUGUGUAGGAGACAUAGAAAUAAGAUUCGGAGUGUCUGACGCAUAUCCAAAUUCAAUAUAUAUCUGGCAUUGAUUUUUAGAUCUGGACAUGAGUAUCCAGUUAACAAAGGAACUGCUCACAAAAUUAUGAAUGAUUUGCCUUUUAUUCUAAAAAACAAUAAAAGGAUAAUUUUACAAACAUAGUCACCAAGCAGAUUAUUAUUUCUAUUUUCACUUUAUCCAAAUGCAAAAAGGUAAAGCUCUAUUUGCUUUUGUUCAAAGUCAACAUUUUGUUGUAACUAUGCACCACAUCUAAUCUUUCUUUUUUUUUUCUCUCUUUCCACAAACUAAUUUAAGGAGCACAAAAUGAUAAUUUCCAACUAGUUGUGUAACAAUGCAAUCCCCCAAAAUGGUUCAUCUAGUAAAUCAAGGGGUGAGAUGUUUCCAUUUUGACUUCAACCUACCACAACUUAGAGCAAUCUUUAGCUUAUUAUAAGACAUAGCUCGUUAGAGAUUCUCUCAUGAUGCAUGACGGCACAGGUUACAUGUCUUAUGUUCCAUAAAUUUAUCAUGCCUUGGUGUUCUUGUUGGCAUGUAAUUGUUUCAAUUAACACAUUGGCAAGAUUAAGAUAUAGAACACUAAUGAAAUCCACUUAAAGAUUUUUUUUUAAUUACACAUUCAAAACCCUUCAUCUGCAAGAUUUUGAUUAAUAGCUAAUGAAAUUUAAAACAGUAAAGCUACUACACUUUUUCAAUUAAUAGCUGCUAAACAUUUGAUUCAAAACAGUAAAGCUAGUACGCAGAUGCCAAAUAUUUGAAGUGUUCAAUGAGUUCCUUGACAUGUUGAACAGAUAACAGCAUCAAUCUAUUGGACUUUAUUUGCAUUUUCUGUGAGUGUUCAAUGAGGACCUUACCUGAUCAUACAGCCGAAUCAGAUUAUCGUCUGCAAUUCUUAUAAUGUCAAAAUGAUGGUAAGCAUAUAUCCAUAUGAGAACUUACUAUUUCUUGUGAACAGGUUCUGUUACAUACUUACAUAUGUAAAUAGAAAUUAGUAAAUUUAUAUUUUCUAUGGACCAUUUAACAUAUGUACAGAUAAACUAAGGAAGUUUUAUCACAAAAUUCUUAGAAGCAUCUGGUCAUUGCUGGUAAAACACAAAGUCAGAGCUCAUAAACAUUUCAAUGAUCAAAGAGUUGGAAUCCUGUUCCCAAAUGUUCAUUCCAAAUCUAAAGCAAUAUUAAAGAUAUCAUACUCCAUAACUUCAAUCAUUUCAGCAGCUUGAUGAGAAAAAAUUCAGUUGCAUGAAACCAAAAACUUCAGAACAUUUAAAUGGACAGACAAAAGCUUCUUUGAAGGUGACUAUUCUCUUCUAAAAGAAUAAAAAAGUAAUUGUAGAAUUACUAAAAAUCAGGUUCAUAUAUACAUAUAUAUUUUAUGUACAUACAUGUGCACAUUAUAUGUAUGUAUGUACGUACGUACACACGUAUGUGUGUAUAUGUAUAUGUAAUUAAGCAAUUAUGUAUGUGUAUAUACGUAAAUAUGUACAUGUAUGGACAUCAGCAGUUGCCACUCUUCUCAAACUCUUGAAAAUUUACUCAAUCCAAAUAUACAUUGGUAGCCAGAUUACUUAUUUUUCUUUCACAUAGAGACGAAUAAGCAGCAACUAUAUAUCACUACUUGCAUGAUAUGUUUACUUACUAACAGAGGUCAUGUCUCAGAAAUAUUGCAACUAAUUAGAAUGUGAAGUAACAAGUAUUUUCUUACUUGUUGAGACUGCAGGAGAGGAUUCUGAUGUUGUGGCUGGAGUGCACGAACGUGUUGUUGUGUUUGGUGGGUGAAGCCCUUGUUACCAUCCUUCAUAGUUUCUAUUAAGGUCUCAAAAUUACUGCCAAAGUAAAAGGAAAUUAUUUAGAAACUAACUGAACCAAAUGUAACUCUGUAAAAGGAGUACAAGCUAAACUCAGGAUAACAAAAGGCUUAUUUAGAUCUCAUAAAUUUAGGGAAUGUUCUUUUAUUCUGAUUCAGUUCUCCCUAGGUGAUUCAUGGGUACAUCUUCACCAAAACUUCCCAUUUCAUGUGCAUUUGAGGUUAAAUUUUGCCAAUGCAUUAGUAUAUUAUGCCACUAAGCUAGUUAAGGAAAAUAUUUUGAGAACAAACCUAUUCCCCAGCAUUACUUGGCUUCCAGGGCCAAAAUAACCAUGGCACCAGGCAUGAAAUAUAAUGGCAGCUUAUCUAGCAUUGAGAACAUUCAAACAAGGUUAAAGAAAGACAGUCCUUCACUCCUUUGCCCCUCAUUGGAUGCUAAAGAGGGCUGUUAGUAAUUUAACUAGCUGGAACCCAAUCUCACAACCCCCAGUUCAAGCUUCUAUCUGGUUAGCCACUUCAGAGAAAAUUCUUAUACCGAGACAAUCUCAUCAACGAAUAGGCAUUAAUAAUAUGGCUUAUUGUGUUAGUGAAGAUUGCGCCUAGUAUGUUGCUACAUUGUUUCUGGAUGUAGGAUUUCUAUCAUCGCACUUUGAAGAAACUAAAUAUGUUUUCCUCUUUACAAAAAUAAGAGCUGGCCAAACACUACAACUUAAAACUACUGAUAUGAAUUCAGUUUUAAACUUUAUGUCAUGCAAGAGAGUAAAGUAGCAAGAAUAAUUUUUGUCCAUAUGUCCAGAGUAUGUACGGAGAAAUUAAAAUGUCAUACUGAGAAUGGUUCUAACAGCGAGGCAAGUUGGAUAAUGGUCUAUUUUAGUUGUGAAGGAACCAAGCUUGCUUUUCUGGACGUAUCUAUUUUCUUCUACCAUCUUGUGAAAGCAAUAUAUUAUUAUUCCAUACUUUGAAUAUAUCAUUAAAUAUCUAUCUAAAAGAAAACAAUGACUAGGUUUACCUAGAAAAUGCACUUGAAGUACUUGACAGACAGACAGACAUAUGCACACCUAUAAUACAAAGAAAUCAACUCACCUGGAUCCUGCAGUUUGCAGAAACAUCUUAAUGAGAUCAAUCGAUGAGAAUUGCUUUUUGUAGCUAUCACUAAGAAGCUUCAAGAUGCGGCCUAAUUUACAGAUAUGACUACUAAAAAUUUCUGAGAGGACUUCCAUUGAGACUUCAGUCCCACCUUCAAAACCCAUACUUUCCAACAAACGAGCCACUGCCUUGUGAGUCAUCUGGGAUGCUUGCUCUUGACCAAGAGGCUUCCUCACCCCUCCAGAUCCAUCUUUUCCUCUAUAUUUGCUUCCCAUCUUAUGAUACUCGGGUAUUAUGCCAAACCUUUCUAUCAUUGCUGGAUUCCGGCUUACUACAGCAGGCAAAUUAUCAAGAACCCCAUAAACUUCUACUUUCUGAUUCUCCUUCGUUCCAUUUGUCAGUAGGAGUGCAGUAUCAGGUACACAGUUAGAUGGAAACAUCAUUUCUGGGAAGAAUGUAAUUUCUUCAUCAGUUGAAUUAAUUACAUCUGAAACAAUUUUGGAAUGUACGGACGACCCAUUCUCCAAGAGAGGAUCACCAGCACCAACAUAGUUGUCCUCCUUAAAUGCUUUCCUCUUUCUUUUAUGUAAAUCACGAAGCUUGACAUAUGCAGACAUUCCCUCAGAUGUUCGUCUGUGUGACUCCUUUUCGCCAUAUGGGAAUCUGUGAUGUCUUAAUCUAUGCCUUUCACUAAAUUGGUUAUACCAUGAAUCAGACCACUCUUCAUGCCUACGCCUCUGGGAGGAAUUUGGAUUCUCAGGAUCACUGUAUCUUGAUCCUGAUCUAGUUUGUGCCUGCAUCACCCAACAAUGGUGUUAGCCAUGUUGCCUUUGGAAGAAAUUACAAUCCAAAAAAACAAUCAAAUUACGAUUUUCAGAUGAUUUAUAGACUCAAAUGGGUAGCAGAAAGAGAAAUAUGUACUAGGAUUAAAAAACAAGAAAAGGCAAUAUUUGCUUUGCUAAAAUACAAAUUUUCUGUCAUUCUUAUGGCUAUGUUUGUAUAGCAGAUCUGGGAUGGAAUAAGCUACUUAUUCUGUCCUAUUCCAUCCAAAAACCAAAAUUGAAGGAGGAAGGGGGGGGGUUCGAAUUGUUAUGAUGCCCAAAUUGGCUGCCUUCUUAUCCCUCCCGAUUACCAUUCUGCCCCUCUUCUCCUUUGAACCCUCUCUCACUUUCCCAAACCCCCCUUGCCCUCAAGUGUACUCCCUCGCUGGAACCUAGGCUCUACCGGGUAUCUUCCGACUGCCAGCGAGCCCAUGCUGGUUGGUGAUGACCCGAUCCACCCCUCUAAUCAGGUUAUUGGCCUAGCUUCUUUGAGAUUGGGGGUGGACUAUCUCUUGGGCAUUGCUCCUUGACCCUUACUCCCUUCCACCACCAGCUGCUUGACUCACCCAUGGCCACCUUGCUCAAGUGCCUAGGAGCAUUGUGCCUGCUUCCCACUCGAAUGAGUCCUAUCUUGGUCUUCCUUAGGUAUGGAUCCCCUACUCUCGAGUUGGUAGGAUCCAUGAGAAGUAAUGAACGUUCAUGGACAAUCGAACUACUUGGGUUAAUUUCCUCAUAAUUUUUGUUCUUCUAUUGAUGGAUCUGCAUUUCAGACUAUUGAAUAAUGGCACCCUCUAUUUACACCAUAUUCGUGCUCAAGCUAACACGUAGGAGACACAUGCCAAAUUGGCCGCAUGGUAGAGUGAUAACAGGUUUCAGAAAUAUCCCAAAAGCUAAGGGCAACUGGAUGCCAUAUAGAAGCUACCCGAGGAAUCACACUAGAGGCUGAAUAUAUAUAGAAAUGGGCCAAAUAGGGCACCAAUAUAAAGUAAACGAAGAUGUGAUAAAAGUUUUGGCUGACUAAGUGUGACUAUUGGUUUGGCAGGUGGUAUAAGGUUAGGUUGCUCUAACGGACGUGUGUAGUGGGAGGACAACUGGCAUCAAUUACUAGAACUGCCAGAAGUAAAGGCCAAACAUGGAUAGUAACUAUCAAAAUAGGUAGCUAUUAUAUUUUAAUAUAAAUAAUGGAUUUGUACCCUAUAAUAAAACCUUCAACAAUCCAAAUCAAAUAUUUUAUUUUAUCUUAGUUCUUAUUGUACCAGUAGUUUCCACCCAGAACUAGCUAUAAUUUACAGUCUCUACUACCACAGCCUAGUGCUACACCUCUAUCCCUAGCUAGAUCCAUCUUCUUUGAAUGAUGGUGGGACAGUGGUGAAAGUUCUUGAAGGUCGAGAUAUAUGGACCUACACUACUCUCUAUCCUCUCUUCGAUCGCUAUUUUUUGCCAAUCCAAUGUCGGUGGCACUGCCCACACACAUAUCGUACCUCUACCAUCCAACUUAUGCCAACAGAUUCUCUGGCGCGCUCGUUCCCUUAGUGCGAGAGAGACUCUGCAGAAGCAAACACCCAUCUAUGCCCAAAAUGUGCUUGACAUAUGUUUUGUGAGAGCUUCGAAUGGAUGAUGCUUGGUUAUAUUUUUACUGCAAGGGCUUAUCACUUUCCUAUGCCCAUGAUAAGGGCACCUUCCUAUGCCCACAAUAUGCUUGAUAGAAUGUCCAUGAAGGCUAUGGAUGGAUCCUCUCAGUGAUUUCAUGGUUUUAAUUUGUUUUCUACCCAUUUUGCAUGGAUUUGAUCAUGAUUUUCAAAGUGUCAUAUCUUAUUGUUGGCCGACUUGUGUAGGUUCCACCAAUGUUGUGGUUCUUCUUAGUUGUUCCAUUCAUGUGAUUGUCCAUCAUGCAUAUUUUGAUGUCAUUAUGUAAGCAUGUUCCUCACCCCAUUUCUGGUGAUUGGAGUGAGCUGUUUUUGCAACUGAUUUUAGUAAUAAUAUAGUUCUUCGGAACAGCUAUUGAUAUGUUUUUUUUUUUUUGUUCCUUUACUUAAAUUAUACUUUUUGAGAUUACAAGUGGACAGCCAAUUGGCAACCAUUGCAUCACAUAUAAGUUGAUGAUGACACAUUGACAUUUGAGGGCUUUGCCAAGUAUGCCAUGAAGCCGGCAUUGCCAUGAUCCACUAGUCAAUGCUUGUCAUGGCAUGCAACCGGCAUUGCCAUGAUUCACUAGUCAAAACUUGGCAGGGCAUACAUCCUGUGCACCAAUGGUAAAGAAGUUUUUAUAGUUUGAAAUUUUUCAAUGAUUUUCAUGGUUUUGAUUUUAAAUUUGCUUUCGUAGCUAUUUUCAUGGGGCAGCCACUUGGUGCAAAAAAAGGCCAAAAAUUAGGUUUGUCUCCAAUUUACCCCUCCUAGGACCCCAAAUUGCCAAGGCCUGACUUGACCAAUUGGCAUGAACUAGGGUUAUGUUGUCUGAUGAUGAUUCUCUUGAUUUGCAAUAUUUUACUAUAACUUUUGAGAUAUAGGAUCAUGGGUUGUUUACAAAACAAUGAGUUGCAAUCCUGGAAAGCCAAAUGGCAAUCAUUUGCAACCUUCAUGUGAGGUGAUGAUGACAGUCCAACGUAAUGGUUUCCACCAAGCAAUGAAAUCCAUUCAGAGCGUGCAACUUAUAUAACCAGAUGAUAAUGCCGACUUUGUCUUCAAUGCUAAGGUCGUUUUACUCAUCCAUCACCUAAUGCCAAUGUUAGUUUAGUCAAACGCCAUGGUAGGUCGAGCUGGUGAGGGAGCACAACAUGGAGCAUAUCAAGAUGGUGUUGUAUUGAAACAUUACCAGAUUAUGUAUGUUAGCAUAAUUCUAUAAGCAAUCACCGACCUCAUUUUUUUUGGUAGGGUUGACUAGUCGAUCACAUAGAGACAACUCAUUGACGAACCGUCAUCAACAAGUAUAAGCAUUAAAGUUGUGCAUGCGUAUUACAACAUGUGGAAUGCACAAGCUUCUCAGCAGAUGUUUCAUUGCCAAGGGCCAUAAGUUAUAUGUAUUUGUUACAAUAAAUGUAUUAGCAAUGUUGCGUAUGUAAUAUAACGCUACUAAAAGGCAGCUAACUGUGCGAAGCUCCCCACAUUGCAGGGUCUGGGAAAGUCAAAUACACACGGCCUUACCGCCAUGCAUAGAGGCUAUUUUUAUAUUUUGAACCAAUGACCUCUAGGUCACAAUGAAGCAACCUUACCAUUGCUCUAUGAUUCACCCGCAUGUAAUAUGACUCUAUUAUGGAAAUGAAAUUUUUCUUCUGUUUAGUUUUUUGAUACUAAUCUCUUUUACGUAUAGAUAUGAACUAUAUUGAUUUGAUGCCAUACGAGCAAGGGAGGGACAGGGGAAAGGUAGUUGCAGUGAUUGCUGGAUCUCAUUUCCAGCAUAAAAACACUAAACACAAUCUCUUCUAUUUCACUUUAAUAAUUUUUUUCUCCAAGCCAGUGCAGGAGGGAAUCGAGGCUAUUGAGAUUUUCAACAAUCAACCAUUCCAUACUUCACAAAAUUUUUACAAAUGAUGGAAGGGUACUUUUGUCUAGGGAAAAAAAACAUCGGUAAUCUCCUCAACUUAUUCCUCCAACCAAACAACGUCAUGAAAGAGUAGGUGCAAACUUAUACAUCCAACCAAACAUAGAAAACUGUUAUUCCACAGAGUCUUAUUCCUCCUGACUUAUUCGGAUAAUUUUCUCUUAUUCCCCCUAAAUUUAUUCCGCAACCAAAUACAACCUACAUUCGAAGAUUUCUGCAAUAAUCUAAAUCAGGGUUUGAACUUCUCCUAGAAACUCCAAAAUUGAAACCAAAGCAGGUUGGUCCGGGCUAGAAUCCGUCAAGUUCAAAGUUUCAGCCAAAACUAACUUAUGCAGUCAGCAUUUACAUGUCUAGUGUUUUUUUAUUAUUCUUUACUCUUUAAAUGUUGGGGAGCAUUUCCUCUUGAUUAAACUUAGAUUAUACGAGUUUUAAGAGUUUGAGGCAUUACAUCAUAGAGGGAAGUAAAUCUUUAACAUAAGUUUUGCUAUACUAGAACUACAAUCUCAUAGGCAUUUAGAUUAUUAUAAGUUAGAUUGUGAUCGAACACAAAAAUGAUAUAUUACACUCAAACAUGUCUUUUUUAAAAUAUUUCAUUUUAAAAGAGUAAUUUUGACUACAAGAGUAUUGCAAUUAAGAGAGAGAAAAUGCAUUGAACAUUAGCCUAAAAGAUACACAGCAAUAGCUCCAAAUAACUUUGAUAUAUUUAUUCAUGAUAAAGGUCUAAUUUUCACAAAAUUUACCACAAGUUGCUAAUCAUCCUGCAUCUUUUAUAAUAAAGUUAUCAUAAGGGUAUUUAGAGUCACAUUAAGAUCUUAAUGAAACAAAGUAAUUUAAAAAGCAUCCAUGGAAUCGUGCAUCCCCCUUCAGAAAGAAAAGGGUGUCAAAAAAUGGUUACUCCUCAAAAUAAUGUCAAACCGUAAUUCAAAAUAAUGACUUGCUCUUCAGCAUCAUGUUUUACAUAACAAAUUAAUUCUAUUUGAACAUGCAAUAAAUGACAUUUAAAUAUGCACAUGAAUGGUGAGUUUGGCAUGAGAUAUUUAUGCAGGAUUAGAUCAAAUUUUCUGCUGCAGUUGCUUCUUCACAAAAUAUAUAUGACUCUAGAGUAUCCAUGUGUUAAUAAGAAGAAAAACUUCCAAUAUGUUUUGCAUAAAAGGAAAACUGUUCUGGGUGCUUUCAACCAUAACAACAUUGCAUCAUGUCAUUUAAAGUAAUUUUAGAACAACUUGAUGCAUAUGCACGGGGUCACUAAAAUACAUGAUUUUUUUAUGUAGACAUUUUAGAUGUUGCAAGUAUAGAUCAUCUUCAAGAAUGUGGAUCUAAUUUUGGGUACUCCAUCAUCAUAUUUGACCUUACUAGAUUUGCCCUCAAAAUGUGGUCAGAUAUAGAAACUUUGUGCUUCCUUACAUGCAUGUGUGCAUGCAUACACACUCACUCAUACAUGUAUACAAAGACAUAAUGCAUAAAAGCAUUUAUAUAUGAAAAUAUAAUUAUGCAUUCUAUGUUUGACUGCUAUAUAAUUAUUUAAAUAACAAGAAGGCCUAGUCACACACCUGCUGUCCAUGCAGGUGGGUUCUACUAAUCAACCUUGCAUGAUUGAAUGAAUAAUGGGGCAUUUUUUUUUUACAGAUUCAAAGAAUAAAGAUGAUUAGUUAUGCCCUUCGCUCUUCAUAUUUAUAAAUUAAAGAAAAUAUAAGAUGAUAAACUAGUUGAAAUGAUAAUGAUGAACUAGCUGAAGUAAUAAAUGAAUAGCAUUUGAUGAAAUAAGUUGCAUUAAGUAAAAAUUUAUCUAGUGAUGAAUCAGGAAGACUGAAACACACUAGAUGUUGAACUCCAUCUUGCUGAUCAUCUUCCAAUGAGUAAUAAAUAUCAUCCCCAUGCAACUGCAGAUCUGGAAGAAACAAAAAGUCAAUGCAUAGCAAAUUAGAGAAAAAAGAAAGCCUUGAAUUGAGAGACAAAUUAGCACUGAUUAACAUAAGGAAUGCCAGCAGGUGCAGCAACUCAUCGAAUUACAAUGUGUAAAAAAAGUUAAAAAUCAGCAUUGUACAGGAAAUGAAUGGAUGCAAUAACAAAUGACACUAAGGCUGUAACAUAACUUGUUGAGAACUAGGUGAAGCAGAAUAAAAUUCCCCAACAAGUUAAACUCCUCCAAGUCAAGAUAACAACCACUAGUACUGUACAAAUGCCUUGAAACUUCAUCACCUGUAUUAGUGUUUUAAAAGAAUAUCACAAAAUUCUACUGCUAUAAUGCCAACAGUGGGUCCUUGUCUGGUAGCAUAUGGACAGCCACCUUUAAUCCUCCUGGCCCUUCUUUUGGACUAAUAAUUCACUUCCAUUUUGACAUAAGAAAGUAUCUCUUACCCCAUUAUCACCAUUAUCAAGAAAGAAAAAUCGGGAACCAAAUCAUUAAUAUAGCUUAGCAAUCCACGUUGCCCAGUGCCAGCAUGCAUAAUUCAAACAAUAUAGUAAGGAUUAGAUGGAAAUUCUUUGGCAAGAAUUCAAGUGGAUCUGCACAAUCUUCUUUUACUUUCAAUCAGCAAAACUCAGGUGAUUAUUGAUUCCAAAGAAUUCCAUGCAAAAAAGACACCAUGACUUAAUGCAUUUGCCCCAAGAAUAAAUCAAAGAUUGCCAGUAAAUAUUUGAAGCUUGUGAUAAACCAAAAGUAUCCCUUGAUAGAGAUCACUGACAACGAAAGAGACUGAAGAGUGCUGACAAGGCUUCGUGAUUAUGUUUAGGUUGCCAUUAUAACAAUUCCAGAGGCCUUAUGUUCCAUUGUAUACGGAUAACAGGUAUUCAAUUAAGGUAACCAUGCAAUCAUUAUUUCGAAUGAUGGCCAUUUGUAUAACAGGAACGGUGGCUAUUAUUUGAGAUGGAUGUCCCGUGGGGAAUUGGUUUGGGCAUCAAUAGUAUUUGGAUUUCUACUUGAUUUCCUGUCAGUAGUUACUACAUAUCACUAGACCAAUAAUAAACAAAUAACUGCUUCAUAAUCCAGAUAAUGCUGUCACCAUGCUAUUCAAUGUAACAUGCAAAACAUCAAAGCUCGGAAUCAACUGCAAAGUCCCUCAAUUUGCAGGAGAAACGCAGUCUGACUCCCAAAAUUCCAACAAUUUUCAGUUCCACUCUGAUCCAGUUGUGCUCUUGUUAAGCUUGCCAAUUAAUUCAAUUCUAGCUUCUAACUUUUUGUAUCCACAGUUGCAUUAAAAAAUUGAUUAUUCCGUUAAAAGAAAAAUCUCUCAAAGAAUGCAUGAGAAAUACAAAGAGGAAUUAAAUCGACAGAGAGAAAACUCGAAAACAAACAUCCGAAACGAGAGAUAUAGAGAACGUAAAGAAAACCCUAGAAUGAGGGGAAAGGAGGGAGACGGGAUCGCUUACAGCUGGGGUUGAGGUUGGAAAUAGAGAAGCCACCGGAGGAGGAGGGGCGGAGGAAGAGAGCGAUGGAGGCCUUGUCAUAGAGGAGUGCGCGGGCUCGGAGCUGGAGAUGGAGGUGGGCUUUGGAGGCGGCGGGGGAAGCGGUCAGGAAGGCCUCCCAUGCGGCGGGGGAGGUGAGGAAGUGGGCGAAGGCGGCGUACGCGGCGUCGCCGAGCCACGCCCGCCACGCCCCGCACUGCUCCAUCCUCCGCGCGAGCUCGUAGCCCAGCCCGUCCUCCCCCAGCAACACCGCCAUCGCUGGAUCCAAGGCAGGCUCGGGUGAGAAGAACAAGAGAGACAAGGGAGCUUAUUACCUCACAUCAGGAUUCAGGAUUUGUGGGCCGUCGGAGCAAGAAGAGAGGUUGCGAGUUAUGACAAACAUUAAAACUUAUGGGCCGCCUAUGAAGGCCGCCUAUUUGACUCCGAGGCUUUGUUAUAAGAGCCCCGAUGGACAGGGGUUGUAUGUUUCGCGCCAAAGAAGAUUCACCUUCCCUCGGGCGAAUCACCGUUGGAUCUCGCAAUGGCCGCUUCAAGAUAUGUGUAGGCGGUGAAUGGGAUUCCGGAGUGCUUUCAGAUCUGUGCAUAGAUGUGAUCCAACGGUCGAAUGUGUAUAGGCUUCAAUCUAUCUAUUCUCUCGAAAUUCAGAAAAUAGAAUCUCAAAAUUUAGAUAAAAGCAGAAAAAGAACAAAAAAAACCAUUUCUCUUACUCAGAUCCACAUCUUUCCUUGUAUUUUUAUAAAUACUAUCAACCAAGCACUCUUUUAAAAAAAAUCAACAAAGAGAACAAGAUUGAUGUUAUUCCUUCUCGAACUUAAGCCUCUGCAUGCUUGGAUGCACCUUAAGGUUGGUUUAAGUUAGGGUCAAGUAAGCCCAACCCAAUCGCAAUAUGCCCAACCUUGGCUUGACUUGGUUCACCGAUUAAUUCAACUAAUUAAACUCAAAUCGAAUCCUACUUCAAAAUUUUAGAUCGCCACAAGAAAAUCUUGGUUGUAUCAUGCUAUUUUGUUCCAGAAAUUUUGACUCAAGCGAGGCACCAGCUUGUAAAGAAAAUCUAGAUCUUGUAGAAAUGUGACUACAUUUGGAUUGAUCGAGUUAGAAGUUUUACAAAUACAAUUCAUAAUUGGUUGGUCAUAAGAUAUUAAAUUAAGCUUGGUUUAAAAUCAAUCAAGUAAUGCGCUUACAGAUCAUUGACCAAACAAAAAUUUGAAACCACUAUUGAGUACAUAACUAACUUAGCUAACUAAUUCAUAGUUUAUAGAACAAUUUACAACUUCUAUAACAACAGUAUAUUUCCAUAUUUUGAUGAUCUAAUUAUAACCUAUAUGACAUAUUUUAAGGAAUUUUACAUUGGAAGUGAAGCACUAUUAAUUGUUUAGAUGUCCUAAUACAUGCUACAUCAAGUAACAUUCGUACUAAAACACACACUAUCCAUAAUAUCGAUAAAAUCUAAUAUUAAUCAAGAGAAACAAUAUUAACAUAGCAUCGUUAGUUCUAACCGGAUGUUACUUGAUUAUAUUUUUGAAAAGCCAAAAAUUUACCCAAAUCCUUCUCUAAAUUCUCUCGGUUCAUGAUAAUUUGUAUAUUAUUUCUUGAUUCUGUAUCUAGCUUAACCAAGACCCAAGCCCGAACUAUAAAAAACAGUUAUAUUUGCAUCUAAUUGUUCAUUUAAUUAGCACUUGGGAUUUUAUAAUAUUUAUGUAUUGAUUAUUUUUAUUUUUAUAUUAUCUCAUUCUACAAUAAAAUAUGUACUUUUCUUUAAAAUAUGAUGGUGGUUAAUUUAUUCGAGAGCCUUCAUUUGUUUUCCACAUUUUAUUUUAAUUGCUAGCAUAAUUAAUACUUUUCUUUAUUUUUUUAAUUUUUAAUAAUACAUUUUAGAUGUCAAAAGUUCAAUCUUAAGUUUAAAUUUAUAUCUUAUCUUUUUGUAAUUUAAUACUAAUUUUUAUCUCCUAAUGAGGAUAGAUGAUUACAAGAUCACUACUCAUCUAACGUUAUAUAUGAAGACUAAAACAACUGCAUUCCAACGAAGCACAGAUGUUGGCUCACCAGUCUAAAUAUUUCCUCAUUAUUUAUCUUUUCUUUUUUAAAACUAAAAUUUUAUUGCUUAUCACUUUUUCACUCUCCACGACUGGGAUACAAUUGGGUCGGAACAAGCUAGCUCGAGCGGACUCAAAUUCUCGACUCUCAUAAUUGGAUCCCUUAGUUGAUCCAUUUAUCUAAUGAGUAUUGUUUUUUUUUUUUUAAGGUAAAACAGUCGCUCUCGUUAAUCUGAUAUGAGUACAAUCAACUAAGGGCUUGUUUGAUUUGCGGGAAAAAAUGAGGGAAAAGUGUGGUUAACGGGAAAGUAAUAAGAUGCUUCUUGUUUGGUUGAAGUUUUCAAAGAAGAGAGAAGGAAAAGUUGUAUUCCCAUGGGAAUAUGAUUCCCACAUUUCAUGGAAAAGUUUUUCCUAUGAGAAACAUGGAAAAGUUACUUUCCAAUAAGGCGGGAACCACUCAAUUUUUAUUUUUUUCUAAAAAAUCCAUUCAGCAUUAAAGAAGCAUUAAAGAGGCAUUAAAAACUUAAUUUUUAUUAAGGAUAUAAUAGGAAUUAUACAUAACUUUCCUAGGAAAGUGGAUGGCCAACUAAACAUAAGCACUUUGUCAUUUUCCUAUGGUCAACCAAACAUGCCAAAAAUACUUUCCUAUGUAUCCUCUUUUUAGGAAUUUGUUUUCCAUAAAUCAUAUUUAUAGGAGGAAAAAUGCUUUCUGCGAACCAAACGAGCCCUAAGUCAAGAUACAAAAUGUAGCCUAAAAAAAGGAUACAAUAUCUGCCGAUAUCUAUGAGACCUCUUCGGAAUGAUGAGCAUAAAAAGAGGCAAUUCAGUCGACCACUCAUGUUCAGGACUCAUCAUGGUUUCUUGGCCUAGGUUAGGGUAAUAGGUUAGGGUCCGUUGUUACCUGCACGAUACGUGGUACCGCUGUUAUGCAAUUUGUUCAUGGUCUGGCUCCAGAUUGGAAUCCAAACUUCACUCGAACCCAACCCCACCGACAUCCCUAUUUAUAAGGCUUAUCGGACCUCAACAUGAGCGGAUCCGGCGCUGUCUUUGAUCGAAUUCCGGCGAGAGGUGGCUUUCCAAUAGGAGGCUGGUCCUCGCAGCGCACCAUCGAAUACGAGGAACGCCGGGAGAGAAGCCAGAAGGAGAGCACGGGAGGAAGUGAGGCGAAGGGGAGAGAUCGAAGGAUAGAGAGCGGAGAGGAGGCGGUGGCCUCGUCGUGUUGGUUCAAUCUCAGCGGCAGCGACGUCGCCGGCGGAGACGAAGAUGAAGACGACAAAGGGAGGGAGGGCCAUGAACCCUACCGACGCAUAUCGAAAGGAGCUCCGAAAGAAGGAGCUCAAAAGGGUAUGUAAAAGAAAUAAUUUCUUCUCAUCCCUAUUCCCUCCGUUUCUCUAGGGUUUCUUUUCUGAUGUUAUUAUUGGACGAUUUCUCCUGUUUCCUGAAUCGGUUUGAUGGGAUGCUGCUAUAUUUGGUCUCUUCCUUCCAUUCCCUAUUAUAUCUUUAAUGGAUUGAGUUCUCUGCUAAAAUCUCGUAUGAUCGGUUUUUGUUGCUCAUGAGAAUAUAUCUUCUUGAAACAUGGCCAUAAAAGAUUGGAUUUUUUGGAAGAUAUAAUAAAUUUGAUCUUUUUCUCAUCUUAAUACAACUAAUGCAUCUGUUACUGUUUUAUUUGUUUUCACUUUUAUUGGAUAAAAUCGAGCAUCUGUAGUAUGUGGUGCCUGAAAAAAAAACCAGGGCCAAUCUCAUGCCAUGUUUAUCAGAAAAGAUUAUGAUAUACGAUGAAGAACUACAGCAGCUAAAAUUGCACGCAGAGCAAGUACUUGAUAAAGUUCCCUAUUUUUUAAGGGAAAGUAGGAUGUGCUUGGGGUUUUCUAAAGAGGCAACAUGGUUGUGGUUUUGAUGUUUCUGCUUUAUUAAAUGUUUGAGACAUAAUUUGUUCUUACUUUUAUUUUAAUAAACCAAAUUCAGCUGAAGUAAUCUCAAAGAUAGUGAAAUUAAGGCUGUCAGUAUGGGUACGGACACAGGUACUUCAGUUUUUUAAAGUUUAUUCUCUCUUUUUUCUCCGCUGAUGGGGCAUGAUGUAGCAACCUGGAUUUCCUACGCAAACUGUUCGCAUAUAGUCAUCAUUAUCCCAAGGGCUUGGGCCCUAAAAGACACAUUAUCGGAAUUUAGCACAAAUCUGCAAUACCAGAUUUAAUCAACUAGCUUUAGUUAUAUUACUCUGUAUUUGCCCAUGUAGGAUCCUUAGAUACCUCUUUCUCUGUCUGUGUUGUGCAUUGUUUUUGUUGCUUAUUUUCAUCUACUAUGCUAAUUGUUAGGGGCAGUUCCUUCAUUUUAAUUAUAACUUAUUCAAGUAUAUUCGCAGUAUAUGCGCUUCACAACUGAUUUGACCUUAUUCUUGAUGCUCUUGUAGACCUUUUUCUGGGGUCUCUCAGAUAUUUCAGACACAUAUACCUGCUUGAUGGCACUUUUCUGCUCUGGAUAAGAUAUUUCAUUCUAUACGAAUUCUUGAUUUUUUUUUUUUGAUAUUAUUGUACAAGAUCUUUUUUGACUUUUAUUCAAGGCUUUUGCAACAAUCUCUUAGGUGUAUUAUGUCUUUUAUAAGAUUGAUGCUUUGAUACAUGCCACUGAUGGCAUUGCUUUCUCUAAAGGUUCUGGCACAUUGAUAUGUGGAUUAUAGUUAUGAAAUUUCAUCGCUUGUGCUAAGGGUCCUUUAAUGAAAUCUUUAUUUUUUUUUCACUUUUCAAUAAUAUGCACGUAAAUGCAUAUGAGGCAAAGAACUGCAUGAGAAACUUCAUUUAUCUCUUACUAGCAAAAAAUGCUUCAGAUUAAUAGUUUGUAGACUUAUUUUUUUAUAUUUUUUGAAAAUAUAUCAAACGAAACACUUUUUGUGCAAAACUGUCUAAACUCUAAAGACUUUUAAUUUACUGAAUAUUUUAGUUUCCUUGGGUAUAUUGCUCUUUAUUAUGGCUAAUAUAUUUUUUUAUUGAUGUAGAGAACAUGAUAAUAAUCAUGAUUUAUUAAUUAAUCAGAAGUACGCAGUAGGUUGCAAAAUAUGCCUACCUUUUGUCUAAUUGUACGGAUAGUUGUUCAAUAUCGCAAACCUUGACACUCCUAAAUAUUGUAUGAUAUCGUUGUUAACUGUUCUGAUUGAAACCUUUCAAUAUUGUGGCCCCUAAUUCAGUAAUUUCUGUGUUCAUUUUAAUGGCUAAAGCCAUGUGUUAAAUACCAUGUCUUUAUGACUGAAUCAUGGUUAGUUUAACAGGCUAUGUUUCUUUUUUUUAAAAAAAAAUGUAAUCCCUGUUUCAGAACAAAAAAGAAAGGAAGAAGGUGCGAGAGGUUGGGAUCUUGAAGAAAGAUCCUGAUGCCAUCAGGGAGCAGAUCAAGAAGUUAGAAAUGAUGAGUAAGUGAUUUAGACAUUGUAUUCUUCCAAGCAGAUUCUUUCAAAUGUUUAGUAGGAUUAUUAACUUUGUAGUUCUGAAUACUUUUUGACUUAUUUGAUUUUACUUGUAGAAAUUCAUCUUAUCAUCUGUCAUUGGUUUAAUUAGUCAGAAGUGAAUUACUUGCAAACGCCAACUCGGAAAUUAAUCAAUAAAGAUCAUCCUCUCUUGUCUUGUUUAUGUAUUUCUAAUCGAAUAAUGAUUUAAUUGGUGGUAAUAUAGAUGCUUGUUUCUUCAUCAAAGAACUGGUAAACUUGUGUUUUAUGAUGUUGGCUCAUUUCCGAAUUGGUAUUCUUCUUAUAUCAGGCGCCCUUGAUGUCUGCAAGGCAAUUGAUCUAAUCUGUCUGUGGAACAAACUUAUUAGUAAUACUUUCAUUAGUUUGGUGUAGUGGUCACCUAUGAACAUGGAAAUUUGCCUGCAUUAUUUUUCUCUGAGUGGGGACAGUCAAGAGCUCAUUAACUUGUGGAUAUGAUAUACAUUCAUAAUUUCAUAUGUUGAUGACAAUGGCCUUGUCUGGUCAAAUAAUUUCUUUCCUUUUCCAGAAUCUUAACCUUUCCUUCUGCUGUAAUCAUAUUCUCUAGGUUUUCUGAUUGCUGAAUUUUUAAUUUACAUGAUUUUUGAGAGAGCUUGAAAAGUAAAAGUAAGGUUCAUGAACUAAGAUUAGCAAAGAAGAAAAGAUCAAUAUUUUGGAUUGCUGAAUAGAAUGUCUAUUUUUUCCAUUUCACUGCAAGAUGUUUAAAUAUAAUAGGAUGGAAAAUAAGGAUUUAACUAGAACAAUUCAUGGAUUAGUUGUGGUUAAAUUUGAGUGACUAGUUGGUGGUGGACUCUUCAUGCAACAUAUUGCUGGGGCUCCUGGUUAUUGCAACAACUAGCCAAAGGUUGCAGCAGCACCUAAUGGAGCAAGGGUCAAAAGUGCUGAUGCCGAGAUGGUUUCUACAAUAUAUUCAUAUUUAUACUUCUUAUAUUAAUAUUGAUGCCAACUUUUACAAUCAUACAUCAUGGAAAAUUCAUGGAUAUAUUCAAAAUGAAGCUGUGUAUUUUGCAUUGCUAUCCUUUGCUCUAGUAGAUUCACUGCUUCAAGGAGGCUUAAAAACUGUGGUCAAUUUGAAUGUCUGUCCUUAUGCAAGUCAUUUACAGACAUUAUACUAUUAAUUAUAAAUGAGAAAUCAUCUAUAAACUAAUAUCUAUCUUUACUUAAAUUUUAUAUUUGCGUAUAUUUUAUAUUAAGUUCUUUAAAUAUGCUGUAAACGGUGUUCAUAUUCUUACUUGUGUCCCAAAUUUUGGAGUAGGUUUAUUCAGUUUCUUGUGUCUUUACCAGUUUUUGUUGGUAUUUACAGAAGGAUAGAAAAUAUGGCCACUUGAAAUGUUGGAUUGUUAACAUGGAUGAAUGAUGAUUCUGUUAACAAAUAUUGAUACCUAUACUUGCCGUUGAUUGAUGCAGAAGCAGAUGGUGCUCUAGACAAGGCGAGAAAACAUAAGAAGAGACAGCUUGAAGACACACUUAACCUAGUUUUGAAGAAAAGGAAGGUAAUUCUUUUAUUUUAUUCUUGUCCUUUUAAUCAUUCACUGCUUCUUACAUUGUAUAUUUUUGAGUAUUUAUUGCUGUAUUUUGAAGGUAAAAAUCUUUGAAGGCCCCUUAAGAUUUUGGUAAAUUUUUGGAAAUGUGUUUUGUAGAAGUGACUAAUGCCAAUUCUCAUUUUUCAUUAUUAAUCGUUGUUUCCUGAUUCAAAUAGUUCUAGUCCCCAUGUCUAAAAAGGUUUUGAAGUCCAUCUUUAAGAACCUAGGCAUAUGAGGGCUAGUUUGGAAUGAAUUUCCUUGGGGUACAACUCAUCGCGCUUUGACAUGCAUUGUGCAUGCAUUUGAAGCCUAUGGUAUGAUGGAUAAGCAUUAUCUACAUUCUAAAAUCUAAAUGACAUGUAUGAUUUUAAACAGUUACUCAGUUUUUAUGCUUAAUGUUUAGUUGCACAGAUAUUCUGAUACUGCUGGUGUGGUGGUUUAUGGCGAUUAUGCAUGCUCACCAUAGGGUGUCUUAACGCACAUAUAGAUAUUCCUAACUAGUGUCACAUAUAGAUAUUCCUAACUCGUGUCGCUCUGAUGUUUUGAAUGAACAAUUGCUGUUUCAAUCAAACAACUCUCUCAUCUUUUCUUUGAAGUAAUUGCAUGGGGUCCAGUCAGAUGAAAAGCAAGGUUGUUUAAGAACAAAGGUUACCAAACUUUUCUCUAUUAGUAAUAACAAUCAAAGAUUGCAGGAAGAAUGACCUUCCAGAUCUGUGCAGUUAAGUUUUAAAGAGUUUGAGUUUGUUUUGUAAAAUCUGAUUGAUGCACUCCAGGCCUUGCCGGCUUUUCCUAUAAUAUUAUUGGUCUCGCUUGGGGUCUUCUAUUUUGUUCAUGACUUAUGUGGGAAAGGAAAAGGCAUUAGUGGAGACAUUAGUGGAGACGUUGCACACAUAAACUGAACCACUUUGGAUAUCUUUUGUCAUAAGUUCAGUACAGGUAAUGAUUCCUUUUUCUUUUUGAUUUCUGUUUUAUCUUUCUAAAUAGAUUUAUUAGUGGUACAACCAAGGUUUGCUGAACCGGCCCGUACCGGCUAGUUCAACAUGUACCGUACCAGGACCGACCCCCACUGGUACGGUACAACCACAUAAAACGGUUCAGGGCCGGUACCGAGCGGGGAAGAAGAAGGAAGAGAAAGAGGAGAAGAGGAAAAAAGAAGAGGAAGAGGAGGAAGAAGAAGAGGAGAAGAAGAAGACGGUUCAACGUACCUUGAGCCAACCCCCUUCCGAGCACCUUGACGCGCGCGCAGCCCUCCCAACGGUUCCUUCCUUGUUCGCGGGAGAAGGGGGGAAAGAGAGGAGAAGAGAGGAGGAGAGAGGGGAAGAAAGAAGAGGAGAGGGUUCGGGGAGGAGGAAGAAGAAGGGAAGGAAAAAAAGAAAAGAAAAGAAAAGAAAAAAUCUUUCCGCACGCGGGCAGCGCGCCCGUGCGCCCGCGAGCGGGGAAUUGCUCGUCCCGCGCGCGAUUCCACGUGCAGGAAUCUGUGGCUAAAACGCGUCCGCGCGCGCACGUCAUCCUUUUUUUUUUUUGGUUCCAGUUCGGCAUCGGUUCCAACCGGUACCAGAGCCCACAGGUGCACCGGUUCGGUCGGCUCGGCGGACACUGGGUACAACGAUGUCUAUUACGAGAAAUUUAGGCUUUCUAGAACCACUUUGAAGUUAUUAUUUUGUAUUGUAUUUAAAGGCUGUGAAAUGGGUUAUUCCGUACUGAUGGGAGUGACUAGAGUUUUGGUUCUUCUAUUAUUGAAAAUCCUUAUUGGUAGGACUUAACUACUGGAGAAUCUUAUUAAUUGGUAAAUACCUAACUUCUUGAUGCUGAAUUAAGUUUAAGAGAGGAGUACCUUGAAAUUGAAUUAUGUCAUCGAUCAUAUUGGUCAGAGAUGUUAUAAUUCAACAAGAUGACUAGGAAAAUCUUGUGGAUCAAAUUUUAUUUGCUCUUUUGCAUAAAUUUCUGAAAUCAUGUUUGUUUGUGAUGCCAAUGAAUGUUUUUCUGCAACUUUGGUGCUCAACCUUCUUUCAUGAGAGUUAGUUUCUCUACACUGGAACAUAUCUUAGUAUUUUUUUUUGUUGCAGUGGUUUGAAGUGUACCUUUGCUAGUUUUGAAUUCAACUGUGAUCGCCAUGUUCGAUGAGAUGGAUCAUUGGAUGGCGCGUGCUUUCAUAUUGAGAUUGCAAAUUCAAUCAAAUCACUUACCACGUGCAGAAAUUUCCAUUUCAUGAUAUUAAAUUGGAAAAAAGAGGAAAGCUGGAUGGACAAUCUCGACAAUUAAUCAACUAUCAGUGCAUGUUGGAAUAUACAAGGUUGUGUGCCUAUGUUUCAAUCUUAAGGGUUAUAGCUUAAUCAACUAUCAGUGCAUGUUGGAAAAAAGAGAAAUUUCCAUUUCACGGGUUAAAGCUUAAUCCAGCUACCAUACCAACUUGUAACUAUUGUGCUCCUACAUUAAGGGUCCUGCCCUACAUAUAAGGUUGUGUGCCUAUGUUUUUCCUUUUAAAGGGUGUUCCUUGUUGGCUAUCUGGUGGUCUAGCCAGCUUAUAUAGCUUUCUUUUCUUUUUAAAGGGUGUUCCUUGUUUGCUAUCUUAUAGCUUUUUUCCUUCUCAUCCCAGAACCCUUCCUUCCCCUCAAUGCCUUACAUCUUUGACUGUAGGAGUGUUCCCUGCUUGCUAUCUGAUAGUCUGGCCAGCUUUCGUAGCUUUCCUCAUAGAGGAGAGGCUUUCGCUUUACUUGUAGUCUGGCCAGCUUUUGUAGCUUUCCUUAUAGAGGAGAGGCUUUCGCUUUGCUUGUAGUCUUGGAUUUUGGUGUUGUAUCCUUUGCUUGCUUGCUGGAACAGAUUACUCCCUGGGGCCCAAAAAGGGGGAAUGAAAUUUCAAUCAGGUGAACAUGAUCAGCAGAGGAUUGAUCGGCGACUCCAGAAAGAUGAUUAUUGAGACUCAACAGCUCGAAUAGGAUCCCACAAAGAAUAGAAGGGAUUUAGAUGUUCGGUUGACUCAGAGGAAAAGCCCACUUAGGCAGAAUUAAGACAUUAUGAUCUACAUAUAUUAAGGGAAUGUAAACCAACACUAAUCUUGAAAGCAUGGAGAAAUUUUGUACGUGGUACAUUCUAUGAUCUACCUUUAUUGCACAAACUACUUUAUUGCUUUUUACAGUGAAACACAUGUAGAAAAGCAUCUCUACCACAUCUUUUACCUCAAAUAAUCUCUUGAUAUGAGACAAAAUGCUAACAUUCCAGAUUGUUUCCAUGAAAAUCUUGUACCCUAGCCAACUUUGGGAAGACUUUUGUUAUGCCUAUGUCUCUUCACUACACAUCACUCUUGAUCUUUUGUCUCCAUGUCAAUUUUAUGCCCCAUGCCCACCUCGAACACCUACACUCUACAAUCCUUCCAAAUGAUAAUCUAUAAACCACUUUUCUUCAUAUCUGAAUUUUAUGUUGCUGCACCUGCUUAUACUACCUUUAUUUGAACAACUUCAAUCCUAUAUGUUGUUGUUUAUAGCUGUUAGAUUGGUACUAUACCAUACCGGCGUCGAACCGAUAUGCUAUAUCGUACUACACCGAUACUCCGUACGCCGAACCUAGGCGUACCACACCGCGUACCAAGACUGUAAUAGGAUAAUAUCAGUACGGGUCCAGUAUUGGGAUGGCAAACCUUGCACUACCCUUAUCAAUCUUGGCCUUGACUCUGGUCUACUCUAUCUCAUUUUGUUCAUUGUCUUUUCCAUAUUCAUACAUAAAUCUAGUUCCAUUUUCUUCUAACAAUCCUUUUUCCUUAUAAUGGAUGUCUGGAGCUUUAAUUCUUCUUGGAUGGAAAAUUGAAGCUUACAUUGACUACCAAAAUUUUGGAGAUGGGGAUUGCCAAAUGGGAAUCUAAAUUUUUGGAUAUGAUCUACAAGGUCUAAAUGCCUACCUGUGAUUGACAUGAGUGUGGCAAGCAGCACCUUCAUCCUUUCUUAAGGGUAAUUAUUUUAAUUUUUUAGAACAAAAGAAAAUAACUUAUAUUGGUUAUUUGUUAAACUUUGAAGUCUUAGUUUUCAGUAAACCUGGUUCUUUCUGUAAUGUAGAUAUGACAGCAUACUGGCAAAUGGUGCAGCCUUUGAUGCAAAUAAAUGUCUAACAAUGUUUACAUAUCUUUAUUCAAAGGGUAAAUUUUGUUAUUUUUUAUGUUGGAUGUUUUUUCUGUGUUCCCCAGCGUGUGUGUUUCUGUAAUCAUUCUUUACAUAUAUGCAUCUGCAUGAUUAGGUUACCAGGUUGGUGGCUACAUGUGUCGGUGGCUAUGUGCGCACAUGGCUGGUUAUUUGAUAUCAAUUCAAACAAGGCAAUGGUGGGUGCAUUUCUGAAACAAAAAGGUGGAUAUCUUCAGUAAGAAUCGCAUGGUUUUCAAUUAAAGGAAGAUAUAGACCAAAAGAUUAUUGUGUUUUGGAGACACGGGAGAAAGGGCUUUCAUUAACAUUAAUAUUUUGGUCAGAUGGGAAUCAGAUCUGGUUUAAAUUAUUGAAAACUGGAAGCUAGACUAGGAAAAAGUAGAUGACCAUGUUACUGGACCUAGUAAGAUGGAUAACAUGACUAAAUAUUAUACUAAGCAGGAAAUGAGUCAAGUUGAAACCAACUUUAUUAUCUUUAUUACCCUUGUGUCAUCACAACUCUUAUAAAUUUCUGUAAACAUCUGAUAAUGAUUCUCUACAUUGCUGAAUUUGUUCACAUCCUCUCCUUACCUUAUCUUUGAACAGGAGUAUGAAGAGAAAAUGCUUGAAAAAGGAGAGGCACCAGUAAUGUUCAGGUGAUGUUUAUUUCAUGAAUUUGAUCUACUUUUUCGUAUAAUAUGGCAGUCUGUUAAUGUUUCUUUUGCAUGUUUUACUUUGUUACCAGCCAUUUGGGUCCCCCUCGAAGACGAACAACUGCAGAAGAAGAGGAAAGAUCUAAACAUCCAAAGCCUGAGGUAUGUAUCUGAAUAUGAGUUAUAUUACUGCUAAAAUUUAUACCUGGAUGCAUCUAAUUCAGCUUAUGGAUGCAGGACUCAGUUUACUAUCAUCCUACAUUAAACCCAACAGGGGCACCACCUCCUGGAAAACCUCCCAUGUAUAAGUCUUCUAUAGGUUUGUUGUUCUCAUCCUAUUUCCCGAUUUAUAUUUUAUCGAUCGCACAAUUUUUCUGUUCUAAUUGCUUUUUUCUGACUAAUAUGCUGCAGGACCCAGGAUACCAUUGCCAACUUCGAGUGGUGCAGCAUCAACAUCAAAGUCAGAGUCAGAAGAAGCAACUCUGUCUGUACCUCCUCCCCCUCCACCCCCACCACCCCCCUUGCCAGCCUCUGGUGAAAUGACUUCUGUUGAUGAAUCUGCUGUACCUGCAUCUAUACCUUUGCCGCCCCCACCACCAGUCCCACCCAAGCCAAUGGCUGAUUCAAAAGCAUCAUUAGCUCCUCCCCCACCACCUCCAGGACCGCCACCCAAAGAACCAGUUGCAGCUCAGACAUCGCUGCCUCCACCCCCACCCCCACCACUCCAGCAGCCUUCCCAUCUUCCUCCACAAGGUACAAAUGGAAGAGAAUUUGAUAAUAGCAAAAAUGCAGCAACAGAGCGCAUAAGUCUCAAAGAAUCUGAUCAGGUAUUUCUUUAACAUCAGUUGGUUACUGUGGUUGUUCAGAGUUGUAUCUUAUCACUCUAUUCAUUAGUUCAUAGUUUUUCACUUAUGUUUUCUUGUACCUUAUACUAUAGAGCUUUCUUGUAUCUUAUACUAUGUAAAAAAUAUUUCUUCUAGCAGUGUUUCAGGUUUCUUUGCCCAUAUGCCUCCCAUUGCAAGUGUAUCUCAUGCACUGACCAUAAGAUGUUUUUGAAAAUAUUUUCCUUAUAUUUCUUUGAUCAUGUCUUUGAUCAUUUGGAGGAGCUAUGACUCUGUUGUCUGUCUGCCUUUCCUUCUUUUUAGAAAAAAGUUGAUUUACUUAUUUUUUUGAAAUUUUGCAAGAUAUUAUGUUUUGGGGACAUUUUCUGUUGGUUUUUUAUGAUUUGCUCUGAUAAACAUUUAAUGCCAAUUAUUAAGAAAGCCCUUUGAGAAUUCUAAAGUUCCAUAUCUGAUCCAGCAGGAUUUUCAAAACAUAUAAUCCUAUUUCCUAAACUUUACCUAAACUGGAAUGUCUGAAGAGUAUCUCUUUUGCAGGCGACAGCUGUGCUCCCUCCGCCUCCGCCACCACCUGGGCUACCAACAAAAUCUGCAAAUAGCCAGUCUGAUGCCACAGCAUCUGAAUCUAGUGCAAAUAUCGCUUCAAUCUCGAAUGACAAUUCUAAGAUGGCACCAUUGCUGCCACCACCUCCAAGGCAACCACCCCCAAUGCCUCACAGACUUCCUUUGAUCCACCCUUUACAACACGAUGUGAUGCCUCCAGGUGUUGCACGCUUCCCCCCACCUCCACCAGAAAUCAGGCCUCCAUUGAUGGUUCCUGGAGUUCCUAACAGACCUGCUCCUCCGGGCAUGGUUCCACCACAAAUUCCUAGGCCACCUUUUGCUGCACCCCCCGGACCACCUGGAGUUCUGAGGCCUCCAGUUCCUCCAGGUCUUCCUCCUACUCAAGAUGAUGAUCUUGCUGCCUUGAAGCCCGCUCCACCUCAGAAGCCAUCAUAUGUCAAAUCAGCUGCAUCUACUGUUGUUAGGAGACCACUAGCUCAGCACACCCCAGAACUAACAGCUAUGGUAUGUUUUAACCAUUCUGCUAAUUAUUUGCCGUGCAUUACAUGUAACAUUUCCUUUGUAUUGGAAAUAUUGCAUUUUUUUCAUAAUCUGUUGAAUCCUAUGCUGUUGUUUUAUUAUACUCAGUCAAUCAAAAUCACCCCUGCUUGGGGUAAACUGAAACCAUGUUGUGUGAUCUGGAUUCCAUGAGUUGGUUUGUUCCAGUCCUGUCAUCAAGAUGACUUAGAAAUAUCUUUUGGUGAUGCAAGUCCAGUCUCCUUGGAUAUCCCUUGGUGAUAUAAGUCAUGUUUCCCUUAGAUAAGUUCUGUAAUUGAGGAGAGAAGAAACACUACUCUAUCAUGUUAGUUGAAAUGCUGUGUCAUGUUGUUUGAAGAGGUAUUACAGAACCAAUGAUUUUAGAAUUUCCAAAUCAGAGUAAAAUCAUCAUCCUUCAAAAUGCUUUUGCUUAGGUGUUGUAGAGACAGUACUAUAGUUGAUGAUGUCUUGAUUUCACUUUCGUUAUCUGGAUUAUUGGAGCAUUUGGCAUUCUUUCAGUAAAUCUGUCAAGUCUAAGUUCGAGUUUUCCUCUGUAUUCCGGUUGCCUUUUGUUUGAUGUAUUUACUGAGAAAAAUAUGUUUUCAAAUGCUUUAUCAAGGAAGAGUUGAAUACCAUGACGGGCCAGAGCUAGAAUCUUGGCGAUAUUAACGUACCUUGUUUUUCUCUCUCUUUAGUUUACCAUGACGUGCCAGUUUUAGUUCUGUUUGCCUCUAGCGAUCACAUCCACCCUUGCUCAUGCUGUAUAACCAAUGUUUCUUUGGGGGUUCUGGACAGGUUCCUGCAUCAGUGCGUGUGAGAAGACAGACUGCUCUUCCAAAACCAAAACCAAAACCACAGCUCUCAACAGCAGCUACAGCUCCCAGGCCUUCAGCCCCCACAGCCAUUGGGAAGUCAGAGACAGCGGCUGCCUCAUCAGCACCAAAGGCACAGAGCAUUGAUGACUCAUAUAUGGCCUUCUUGGAGGACAUGAAAGCCCUGGGUGCCCUGGAUGGUUAGGCUUAGUGAUGAGAUGGCAGUAUGAAGGCUA
rnacentral:lncRNA from 1 species